rnacentral:lncRNA from 1 species
AGAAGAUAAAACUGCAAGCCAGGUGGAGCACGACCAAUUACUUAAAAGGCAUGUUUGUUUAACUUUAAGCAGCAACACUAUGGAGCACAACAGUCUCAACAGUGAGGCCAGGUCCGAACCCAAAGAGCACUCCCCACUCCAGUCCUUCUCCUGUGGUCUGAAGUCCAUCUUCCCUUGAUUUCUUCCUCAUCUCAUCCAAAAUGAAUAAAACACAAGCACUUGACAUGUUACCAUACUCUGAAAGAACGUGCCUUGUGGCUCGUAGCUUCUCUGGCUUCAGUGCUAACUUGGCUUCUACCUGGUCCAAUAUUGCUGGACCACCUGGAUGAGCAAUCCAAAAAAGGGAGUUCCAAUCGGAUAUGCCCAAUGGUUGAAAUGCUUCUACCAGGCUCUUCUCUAUAUUCUUCGAAAUAAGCCCCGGAACAUCCUUAAGAAGGUGAAAUGUAAGCCCAACUUCACGAAGGUGACCAUCAAUUGCACCAUCACUAUCUGGCAAGAUCGUUUGGGCUACUGAGACUAGUUCAAACAUGGGCUUCUCGAUUUCGGGCAUGGGGUCUGCCCCGAUUAUAACAGCUGCGGCACCAUCACCAAACAAUGCUUGGCCCACUAGACUGUCUAGGUGAGUGUCACUAGGUCCACGGAAGGUAACAGCAGUAAUCUCCGAGCACACAACAAGUACACGAGCACCUUUGUUGUUCUCAGCUAAGUCCUUAGCCACUCGGAGCACCGUCCCCCCUGCGAAGCAACCUUGUUGGUACAUCAUGAGGCGCUUAACGGAGGGGCGGAGGCCCAAAAGCUUGGUGAGCUGGUAGUCAGCCCCAGGCAUGUCCACACCACUAGUGGUGCAAAAGACAAGGUGGGUGAUCUUGGACUUGGGCUGGCCCCACUCCUUAAUGGCCUUGGUGGCUGCUUCUUUGCCUAGCUUUGGCACCUCAACUACCACCAUAUCUUGCCUAGCAUCCAGUGAAGGAGCCAUGUAUUCACAUACAUUGGGAUUCUCAUUCAAAAUCUCUUCUGUAAGGUACAUGUAUCGCUUCUUGAUCAUCGAUUUUUCACCUAAAUAAUCAAACACAAUAAACUUACUUUUAAUUCUCCCAACUUAGCAUAUAAGAGUCUUUUAACUGAUUUUUUAUCCAACUUCACUAGAUAUGGAAAAUAUCAGUUUAGGUCCCCCCUUCAAAUUCUCUGUCUCAUAAAAGCUUCAAUCGUCGGAAACUUUUAGGUGGGUCAUGGGCGGAAAUAAUGGAGUCUUAGGACCUUUAUAAGAUUCUCUUCUAAUAGUUUAUUUAAUAGUUUGUCUGACAAAUAUAUUUAUUUUAAAAAAAUAUUAUAAAUAUUAGACUAUGCAGAUUUAUAAUUUGAAUAAAAAAUUUAUUUAAAAGUAUAUUUAUAAAAAAAAUUUAAAAAUUAUAAUUGAAAUGAUAAAAUUAUUUUUAAAAAUUAUAGAGUUAUAAAUUAAAAUUUCAUAAAAAUACUAUAAUAUAAAAUAUGAAAGACAAAAUAAUUUCAAAUUAACAUUUAUUAUUGGUUCAAACAAUUAAUAUUUAUAUUCUUUGGUAUAAUACUUGGAACUAUCCAUAAUCCUUUCCAAUAUUUAAAUAUGAGGAUAAACGCAUUUUAAUGCGCUCGAAUCUACAUCUUUUUGCAUUGGCAAUAAUGUCAAUGCCAAUCAAACUAACACUCAAUCAACCAUAUAAUAUUUGAAAUCAUAAAAAUAAUAAAUAUAUAGUAUUGUAAAAAAAAUUAAAAAAAUUAUAAACUAGAACAUCUAACAACUUACUAAUAUUUGGAAAAAAAAACUUAUUAAUUCACUAGUAUAAAUUUCAAACUUCUGUAGGUAGAAAACGUGAAACUAAGGUUUGAGACAAAUUAAGUCUGUGGGGUUAUAUGAUUUAAAUAAAUGUGCAACCUAACAAACUUCAAUCUAGUUUUCUUGGAACCAGAAAAGAACUUUAAUCUAUUUUCAAGUCAUACUAUAUACGUAGCUAACUUUUUUUCCAUUAAAGCAUUUGCAUGAAAAUGAUAUGAACCAUGCACAUCUAUCUUUCCCCUCUUUUAUUUUCAUGGCCGAAUCAUGUAUGAAACACAAAAUCACAUUAAGUUUGUAUAUAAGGUAAUUUAACUUUUAGAUCAAAGUAAAAAACUUACACAUGCGCUUGAACUUCUCUUUCAACUCGGUCUUGUGCUCACUAUUUGUGAUACGGAAAUAGUAGUCAGGGUAUGUGCUCUGAUCAACACAAUUAGGCGGGGUUGAUGUGCCGAUGGCCAACACGGUGGCAGGGCCUUGGGCACGUUGAGCCUUACGAACUUCUUCCACGGUCACCAUUCUUUUUCGGAUGAUCAGAAACAGCCAAUGGUUGUGGGUGUGGAGUUGGACUAAGCUGCUAUGCUAUGAAUGGUAAAAAGGAACCGAAGGUGUUGUUGACAGUCCAGAGUUUGGGCCUAUAAAUAAGAUAUAGGAGCUUGGGAGAGGGUAGUUGAGAGUCACGUGGUUGAGCAGAGCCAAGUCCACCUGGCUAGUUGUUAAGACUGGGUGGCACGUGACUUUGGUGCAUCCAUCUAAUUCUAGCCUCCACUCUUCUACCUCUCUAUCCUAUCCUCCACAUUUCUGUUGGUUUUCACUACAAAUGUUUAUGGGCAGAGUUGAGUGCGGGUUGAGUACAUGUUAUUAAUAUAUAUUUUUUAUGUUUAUUCAAACUUGAUCUAAUUUAAAAUAUGAGUUUAAAAUUUUGUCCAAUCCAUUCAUAUUUAUAAAUGGUUAAUGGAACCCCAUUUUAGGUUUACUUAUAUUAUUUUUUUAAAAUUAAAUAAAUAUUUAUAUUAAUUUUAAUUAAAUAUUUAAUAAUUUUAUAUAUAGUCACCUUAAUAAUUUAUAAUGUUUAUAUAAUACUACUAUAAAUUUAAUUUUAUGUAUUAUAAAUUACAUAAUAUAUUAAAAUAAUAUAACAUAAAAUAUUACUAACUUAGGAACGGGUCAAACUAAAUUGAGUUCAGACCUUAAAUGUUCAGGUAAGUAGACUUAAUCUUUUUCAAGUUAAUUUUUUAAACUUAAUAUUUUAAACCCUCACACAAAUUUAAACCAACAUUCGAAUUUCAACAAAUAAACCUACUCAUUAAGAAUUACAGAUUUCACUUACCGCUUCAUCAUUUAAAACCUCAUUUCUACCCUAUAUAAGGACUGCACCACGUUCCCUCACAUCUGUCCAUACAUUUCAACUAAUUCUUCUAACUAUUAAAUAUAUUUUUAUUAUAUAUUUUUAAUAUUUUAAUAUAAUUUAGAUGGUCAAACCAACUUAAAAAAUGGUCUAAAAUUGAGAUGGUUUGAAAAUAAAAUUAUGCUCCCUAGGUUUUAGGUAAAAUAAAAAUUAUUUAAAAUAUGAAUUGAGCUUGGAUUCAAAUAUUAUAUAUAUUUUGUUAAAAUAAAGAUAUUUUAUAUAACAUAACUAAAAGUACAUUUAAUAUGUAAUAUUUAUGAUUAUAUAAUGAAAUAAUAUUUGAUAUAUUGUUAGUGGAGUUUUUAGAUUCCAUAAGUAGGGUUAAGAGAUUGACAAGUGUCCUAUAGGGUAUAGUAAAAUAUAUUUUAAAAAAAGAGACAUGACAAUUUUUUAAAACUACUAGUAGAAUAAAAAAAUUUACAUUGUUAGUGUACCAAAUACUAAACCCUUAUACAAUAUGAAUGUUAUAAAUUAAUUCUAUUUUUUUGAAAGUAACAUAAUUAAUAUUAUAAUAUAUGAAAAUUCUUGUCAUAACCCAAAAACCGGGUUAGAAGAAAUUGAGUUAGUGAAACCAAGACUGGUCACGUCCUGAUUUUUAGUUAUGAUUGUGGAAGUGUUAUCAAGUAAAUUGAUUUGUUUUAGUGGAUAAGUGCUUUGGAUAUAUGUUUGAGGUCUUGUGUUUAAAUUAUUAUUAUUUUAUUUAUUUUUCUAUUUUUGUUCUUAUUUCUAUCUCAGCAUAUCUUAUUUAUAUUUAAUUUUUGCUCAAUUGUUAAUAAGAAUGAGCUUGUUAGUUUAGUGGUAAGACUUCAAAUUAUUUUUUGGUGUUGUAUUCAAAUCCUAGUGCGUGUGAAACGAAAAUAUUUUUGCUCCUAUUUACUGUGCCGUUUAUUUUUUCAAAAAAUUAGUUAAAUUUAUAUUUUAAGGAAAAAUAUGAUAAAUUAGAAUUUUGUUUUAUUAUAUUAUAUUAUAUUUUUAAAUUUUGAAAAAAAAUUGGUUUCCAAAAGUAUCUUUCACCUUCUCACGUUACUCUACCACACUCCCCACUUUUGCCUUUUGCCUUUUGUUUUUAUUUUAUUUUAUUUAUUAUUAUUUUAUUUCUCUUUCUAUUCUAUUCUCCCUAAUUCCCACGUUUUGCUCCUUGUUUCUAUUUCUUUUUCUUUUACAUUUUUCUUUUGUUGUUCCUUCUUUGUUUUGUUUUUGUUACAUAUAUUGUAACUAUCUAAAAGUCAGAAGUGUAAGGUAACGUACUUCAGGGAUCCCGUUUCUGUGAAUUGAGUUUAUAAUUAAUUUCAUUAAAUACUUUUUUAGAAUUUGCCUUAGGAGGGAAUUGUAUGAUAGUUAGAUAAUUCUAAGUAUUAAGUGUUUGAUUAAAGUAGGGGAAUUAAAUCAAAUAAGUGAUAAAAAUAAGAAUUUAAAUUAAAUUAUAAGGAGGAUCAAUAUCAAGGGACUUAUUAAGUAAAUAAGCCAUUAAUUAUAUUAAUGUAUGAUGGUGGACGGUUUUAAUCUAUGUUAUUAGUAUUUUACAUCUGUGUUGUGUUAGAAUAUUAGUUAAGUUAAAAAUUAAUAUGAAAAGUUAUAUUUUAUUAAUAAAAAUAGAUGAGAGAUAUAGUUAGUGGGGAGAAGAAAAUUAAGCAAUAGUUUUCUUUAUUUUUUUUUCUUCUUUUCGAAACCAUAAGGAAAGGGAAGAAGGGGUUGUUCGGCCAAGAAGCUAUAACGCAUGCUUAAAUUGGUAAGUGAAAUUUGGUUAUUUUUGCAUGAAAUUUAUGUUUUCUAUGUUUUAAUGUUAUGAGUUAGUUUCCAUGUUGAAAUUUUGAGAGUGAAUGAAAAUUAUGGAAGUUACAAUGGAUGAGAAAUUUAAAGGUUUGGUGUUAUUUUGUUGAAUGUUAAAAGUUCUUGAGGUGAUGAUUAAAGUAUAAGUCUUGUAGGCUAAUUUGGUCAAAUUGUGUGGUGAUUUUUGUUGAUAAUAAUUUUUAAGGACUUAAAUUUUGUAAAUUCAAAAUAACAUGGUUUAAAUUGUGAUUUUUAGUAGUUAAAUGAAUGCUGGAAAAUAGUUUAUAUUUGUUGAAUGCAAAGAUGUGAAAUUUGUUCAUAGGGGUUAAUGUUUGAGUAUAAAUAUUCUUGGUGGUUGGAUUAUUAAAUUUAAAUUAUUGUCUUUAGAUAAAAAAUCAGAAUGGAUCAAUUGCUAAUCACAGAAAGGAAAAGGCUAUCGAGUGAUUGUUUUCGAUUUUAGUAUCUUCCGUAAUUCUAUAAGUUCAUAAUCUUGAAUUUAACCUUUUUAUCUGUUUAUUUAAUUGUUAAUAGAUGUUAUUUAAAUACUUGAUAUGCAAUAUUAUGUUUAUAUUUGAAUGAAGAUGAUAUUCAAUGAAUGAGGAAAUUGUGUAGUGAAAUAAUAACAAUUUGUUGGUUAAUCCAACUAGAGCUGGCCUCAUUAUUUAAUUUUUCGAUUCAUUCGACUAGCACUGGGCGCGAAUCCCGUUGGUAUAUCCAACUAGAGCUGGGUUCAUUAUGUAUUCGCCGGUUUAUCUGACUAGUGCUGGGUGCAACAUCCGUCAAUUUAAUUGACUAGUUCUUGGCACACAUUUGUCGGUUCAUUCGCCUAGCGCUGGGCACAAACUCUUUCGCGAUUAUUCCGCUAGGCACCGAGUGUCGUGUAUUAAUUGGACUAUACCACCAGGUUAUAUGAACCAUUGAAGAAGGUUGUUGCAGAUAUUAUUAAGGAAGGAUUAUAUUUACUUAUGUGUUUAUGUAUUCAUUGGAAGAUAUGUUAUAUUUCUUGAAUUAGAUUAUUAAUGUUAUAAAAAUAAGUUCAAAUGUUUUAGAUAUAUUUGAGGUUAUUCAAAUAAGUGAAAUCUAAUUAAUGUGAAUAGGUUCUCAUGUUUACAGGUUAGGCAUAUUGUAUAAUUGGACUCAGACUCCUACAAGAAUCCCAUACUUGACGUUGGUGAUGUUCCUUUUUGUGUUUUUGGCAUGUACCUAGGGGGUAUUAAUUGGUUUGAAUCUUUGGUUUAUAGAUAGUUGUAUAGGAUGUUUGUAGUAGUGUUUCGUGAAUAUGUAAAUGGUAUUUUAGUAUGUUAGUAUCUUGAUGUUAAGAAUGCUUGUUUAGGUAAGACCUUUUGGUCACUUUUGUGAAUUGUAGUGCAUGUCAUUUUAAUGUAAGAUGUUGCCUUGGAAAUGGUCAAUUAUGAUGGUAUUAGGCACAUAAUAGAAUGAAGUCUUUAUUCAUGGAAAUAGGUAAUGUUCACAUGUUUUGGUAAAUAUGGUGUUGUUAUAAUUGUGGUGCCUAUUGCCUGUGUUCUUCGAACUUUAAUGUAGUACUUGUGUAGUUAACUCGAUGAAAGCAUACAUUUAACAAUCUUUAACUUGUUUCCUUUCUAACCCAAUGAACUAACCUACUUAAUGUUGAAAACCAUGAGUCAUUCAUAUAUCUUUCUAGAAUGACAUGUUUAACCGAACUCUCCUAUUUAUGAUGUUCUGAAUUAAUUACUUGUAUGAAGCAUGCUCAAGUACACUUCUAUUUUCCUUAUUUCUUUUUCCUUGCAUGUUUGUUUUGUUUCCUUGCAAACAAGCAAAAAGUAAUUAGGUUCUUUAUUGUAGUUAAUAAGCUUGUUUUCGAGUAAUUUGAUUACAUUACUAUUAAUUUCUAGUUUUAGCAUUUUAUGCUCGAUUUCAAUAGAAUAAGUGUCUUUACACAUUGUUAGGUGUUUUAAUGACCUGCUAGGCCAAUCAAGGCUUAGGGAGAAACCAAUGGGUUAAUUGAGUGUGCAAGACACCAUUUUAGGCCAUGGAAUUUGAAGAACGAUCCUAAUGUCGUGACAUUCAUUAGUGGUAAAUAUCGGUUAGGUGAUUUCAUUGAAUUAGAACUUAAAUUAAGAUACAGGGACUUAAUUGCUUAAGUGAAAAAAGUAUAAUAGUUAUUAAACUAUAAACUAAUUUAUAAUUAAAGGACUUGAAAAAACAAUUAUACCCUUAUUGUUUAAUUAAGUGGACGGUCAUAUCAUAUUUAUAUGUAUGUAAUAUAUAUUAUGUUUAUGUUAACUAUAAUAUAAAUAUUAUAUUAAACUACUAUAAAUAAAAUAAAAUAAAAUAAAGAUGAAUAACAGAUGGUGGAUGGGAAGAGAAGCUUAAAAAUUCAUUUUCAAUUUGUUUCAAUUUCGAAACAAGAAAAGCUUGGGAAGAGAAGAGAAACACACAGCCUAGGGCUGAAAGUUUCAAGUUAAUUUGGUUAGUAUAUUUUGAUCAUUUUUACUUAAAUUUUAUAUAUUUGGAACUUUAAGAUCAUGAACUAGCUUACCCAUGUUGGAAUUUUUAGAAUUUAUGAUGAUUGUGGAAGUUUCCAUUGUAGAAAAUUUCAAGUUCUUGGUGUUAUUUUGAUGGAUUUUAAAGUUUAGGGACUUAUUUAUGAAAAUGGUAAAUUCUAGGAUUAUAUUGUGAAUUGAUUGAAAGUAUGAAUUUUUUUGGACUUUGAGGAAAACCAGUUAACAUGGGAUUUGUUUGAUUGUAACUAAAUAGCAUGUUUUGGAAUUGAGGAUUAAAUUGUAUUGAAGGUUAAUGUCGAGUGUAAAUAUGUGAAAUGUGGUUAAAGGGUUAAUGGUUUUAGUAAAUGUUUCUUGGUGAGUAAAUAAAUUAAAUUAAUUAUGUUGUAAAUUUUAGAUCGAGAAACGAAAGGAUCGGUUGGUAAUCAUGGAAAGGAGAAUGUUUUCGAGUAAUCGUCAUCGACCUUAAUAGCCCUCACAAUAUGGUAAGUUCGUAGUCCUUGACUCGAACUCUUUAUUUAAUUUAAUUAAUUUAGUCAUAUUUGAUAUCAAAUUAUAUCCAUUAAUAUAAUUGGUUAAUUCUUUUAGAUGGAAUACUAUGGAAUAAGAUUUGAAUGUAUAUGAAUUAGAUCAAAAAUAUUUUCAUUAUUAUUGUUGUGGUUGAUUAAAUUAUAGAAUAUGGUUUUGAGGAUUUAAUUCUUGGUGAGCACAACUAUCGUCAGUUAUCCGACUAGCGUUGGACACAAUAAUUUGUUGACUCGUUCAACUAGUGUCGGGCACAACUAUCAUAGGUUAUCAAACCAGCGCUGGGCACAAUAAUUUGUCGACUUGUUUGACUAGUGAUGGGCACAACUAUCAUCAGUUAUCUAACUAGCGCUGGACACAAUUUGUCGACUUGUUCAACUAGCCCUAGACACAAAAAUGAUCUUGUCGAGUUAAACAACAAGCGCUGGGCGCAAAACCUUAUGUACGAUCUAACCGUUAGACAUCGGAUGUCAUUUAGUGGAUUAUACAUUUCGGUAAGGUAUGAUAAUUCAUGAGAGGAUAUUUGUAUAUAAAUGAUGUUAUAAAUAUGUUUAAUAGGAAUUAUGGUUACUUUAUAGAGAUGACUUACAUAUUAUGAAAUGUAAACUUUUGUUUAAUAGUUGUAAAGGGGAUCCUUUGAGAACAUGGGUUACUUACUGUUGGUGAUGUAUUUUCUUUUCGAGUCUUGGCAUGUACUUAAAAGGUCAAUUUUGAAAUAAUGAUAUUUUGUUUUUAGUGAAUUCUAAUGAAUGUAGUCCUAUAAGUUAUGAAUGAUGUGUAACUUAGAACAUAGUUGUAUCUAAAUGCUUGAAGUUGUUCGUGUAAAUGCUUUCACUUGGUGAUUGUUCUAGUAAAUUGCUCACUUUGGUAUUAUAUUAAUGAUGUAUUUGAGUUAGUACUAGAAGAAAGUAUAUAUAUAAUUUUUCAUUUGGUUGAUGUUGAAUGUGAGUAAUUGGUUUGAGUGAUGGAUCUACUUAUCCAACUUAGUUGAAUAAUUGAACUUUGUUUGAGGUGCCUAUGAAUGGCAUAUUGGUUGGAAGAUGGAUGAAUGAAUUGUUGGUUUGUGUUGGAUGUUUAAAAUGUGGUGUUAAUGAGGGCACAUUGGUUAGACACUUAAGAUGGUUGUUUUAGCAUGUUUUGAGCAUGUUUAAAUGUGUUUCGAAUAAUUUUAAUGGUUGAUGAUUUGGUUGCUUAGUGUCCAAGAAAUCACAAAUUGGUAACCUUGAGUUUUAAGGUACAUUUAGGUUAACAUAGCUUGGGACACGGGCUGCUACACAGUCGUGUGACCCAUAUGGUCUAUCCAUACGGUCAUGUGUCUUAUUAACUUUAGGAGCAAGUUUCACACGGUCAGCGACACGGCCAUGUGUCUUAAAAUAGUGAGUUACACUGACGGAUUCACAGGUUGGGACAUGGCUAUGUGUCUGGACUUCAAAUAUCCACACGAUCUAGGUUGUGACACACGGAUUGGCCACACAGCCAUGUGUCUCCUGUUUCCAAAAUUUAAAAAAUUUUCCCAUCCUUUCCCAUUUUGUAUCGAAUUGACCUUAGAGUGUUUACAAUUUAUUUUUAGGGCCUUGUAAACUCGUUUUAAGGUCUGUAUGAGUACGCUUAGUUAUUAUUGGUAUGUGAUUUGAUUUAUUAUCAUUAUGUUUGAAUAUUUUUGUUAAAAAGGAAAUGUUAAAAUUUUAAAUUAUUAUCGUAAUACUCUGUGACCCCAAUCUAGCAACGGAGACGGGUUAAGGGUGUUACAUUUAGUGGUAUCAGAACUACAUGUUUAGCUGAUUCUUGGACUAAAUCGAGCUGAAAAUUGAGUCUAGAGGUACAUGCCAAAGUUGAAUUGAAUUUGAGUUGGGAUUUGAUGCUGAUUAAUAUUAUUCUUAUUUUACAAGUUAAAAGAUGUCAGGUGAUACUAAUAACGUAGUUGACCAAGAAAUUCAUAUUGGUGAUGAAUCUACUGGGGAUUUGAUGAAUUUGAAUCUGUAACACCGAGUGUUCAUGCUGAUGGUAUUCGACAACUAAAUACUAAUAGAGGCAGAAGCUCUUCAGAGGGUAGCGGGAGCUACUCCUCUGGCACUACCCGCACCUACAGUGAAACGAGCUCAUAUUAAGGAAUUGAGGAGAUAUGGUGCUACAAAAUUUGUUGGGUUAAAAUGAGUUGACCCGUCAACAGCUGAGUUAUGGUUGGAAUCUACGGCUAGGGUUCUUCAACAACUUGAAUGUAAUUCCCGAGAAAGUGUCAUUUGUGUUGUUUCGUUAUUGCAAGGUGAAGCCUAACUUGGUGGCAAAUUAUUACACGACACGUUCCUACAAAAGCUAUAGAUUAGAAAUUUUUUCAAGUAGAGUUUCAAAAGAAAUAUGUUGGGGAAUUAUAUCUCGAGGAUAGAAAAAAAGAAUUUAUUUUGUUGAAGUAAGGAGAUUUAUCUGCGGUGGAUUAUGGACGAGAAUAUAUGCAACUCAGAAAGUAUGCUAUGGAACUCAUUCCUACUGAAAAAGCAAGUUGUAAGAGAUUUUUACGUGGAAUGUGAGGUGAAAUUAGAACUCAGUUAGUUGCAUUGAAGAUUAAAGAGUUUGCGGAUUUAUCUAAGUGAGCAAAAAUGGUGGAAUAAUAUCUAGGAUUAAGCGAGAAAUUUGAACUUUCUUGGGUUACAGAAAACUAUUUUUGGACUCUUGAUUCAUGUUUAGUACUAAAGAAAAGUAAAGGGUCUUGGGAUUUUAGGAAGUCAGUUGCAAGAUCGACGACAUCGAAUAGAAUGCAAGACUGUCAACUGACAGUUUCUGUUGAUAGUGUAAAAGGGCCGAAUAAAAGUUCUGAAAUGUCGACCUGAGAGCAUUGUGGUAAGAAGCACUGGGGAAAAUGCUAGAUAUUGACAAAAGGUUGUUUCCGUUUUGGAUCAUUGGAGCAUUUUGCUAGAGAGUGUCCGAAGAACGAAAAUGAUACACCUAACGAUUCAUAGAAAGCCGCCUCCACAGUUAGGGGUCGAGGGACGAGUAAAGGUGGAUCAAUUUUGAAGGGUGGAUCAAGAAAAAGAAAUGAAAUAGUUGCUGAUCAGCCUGAGGCCAGCGCACUGGCUUGUGCUUACGUGGUGCGAACACGUGAUGAGGGAGAUGCUACUAAUGUUGUAGCAGGUAUGUUUCCUGUUAUUCUCCAAUCCUGUCUAUACUUUAAUAGAUCCUAGUUUUUCUCAUCGUAUGUCAAUACUGAUAUGGUUAAGAUGUGGAAAAUGAAAUCUGAAAUGUCAAGAGUAGCUAUGUUUGUGUCAAGUCCAUUGGGCCAAACAGUGUUAGUCAGUCAAGUUUGUAAGCAAUGUCCAUUGAAAAUUCAAAAUUUUACCUUUCCAGUGGAUUUAUUAAUUAUGCCUUUUGGUGAUUUUAAUGUGAUUCUAGGUAGGUUAACUGAGCACGGGGUAGUUCUAGACUACUGGAAGAAAAACUUUUGGUUCAAGAUUUGAUUAGUGAGAUUAUAGAAGUUAAUUAUGUUAAAACGAGUGGUUCAAAUCAGGUUAACUCAUCGAUUCAAGUUAAUAAGUUGUUGAAAUAGGGUUGUGAAGCUUUUCUAGCUUAUGUUAUAAAUUUAAAAAAUGGGAAUAGUGAAAUCAGUAAUAUUCAAACUGUUUAUGAAUUCUCUGAUGUGUUUUCUGAGUAAUUGUCAGGAUUGCCACCUGAUCGAGAGGUUGAGUUUGCAAUUGAAGUGUUCCCAGGUACAUAUCCAGUAUCGAUACCCCCUUAUCGUAUUGCACCAGCUAAAAUGAAAGAAUUGAAAAUUCAACUACAAGACUUACUGGACCACAACUUUAUACGUUCCUUGGGAGCUCCAGUUCUGUUCGUUAAAAAGAAAGAUGGGUCGGUGCGACUUUGUAUUGACUAUCAACAAUUGAAUAAGUUGACAAUUAAGAACCAAUACCCUUUUCCUCGUAUCGAUGACUUGUUCGAUCAACUGAAGGGGGCUUCAGUCUUUUCUAAGAUUUAUUUAAGAUCGGGUUACUAUUAGUUGAAAGUAAAAGAUAGUGACGUACUGCAAACUACCUUCCGUACGUGUUAUGGCCACUACGAAUUUUUAGUGAUGCCCUUCGGAUUAACGAAUGCUCCUGCGACAUUCAUGGAUCUCAUGAACCACAUUUUCCAACCUUACCUUGAUCAGUUUGUGGUAGUUUUUAUUGACGAUAUUUUGAUUUGGUCAAAAUCGAAAGUUCAGCAUGAACAACAUUUGCGUAUUGUUUUGCAAAUUUUGCGAGAAAAUCAAUUUUACAGGAAUUUCAGUAAAUGUGAAUUCUGGUUAACUGAAGUGGUAUUUUUUGGGCAUGUGAUAUCAACUGAUAGAAUUCGAGUGGAUCUGAAAAAUAUUGAAGCAAUUAUUUAGUGGAAAACACUGAAAAAUGUGUUAGAAAUCUGUAGUUUCAUUGGCUUAGCUGGUUACUACUGAAGAUUCGUUAGUGGAUUUUCAAAAAUAGCUUUGCUAAUAAGAACGCUGUUGCAAAAAAACGUACAAUUUUUUUGGAGCGAGCAAUGCCAAUAAAGCUUUGAGAAACUGAAACAGAUGUUUACUGAAGCACUAGUUUUAACUUUACCAGAAUCAAGAAAGGAUUUUAUGGUUUAUAGCGAUGUCUCGUUGAGUGGGUUAGGCUGCGUUUUGAUGCAAGAAGGUAAGGUAAUUGUGCAAGCGUCCCGAUAUUUAAAAUCUCAUGAAUGAAAUUAUCUGACACACGAUUUGGAGCUAGCUACUGUGGUUUUUGCUCUAAAAAUUUAGAGACACUACCUGUAUGGUGAAAAGUGUCAUAUUUUUACUAAUCAUAAAUGUCUUAAAUACCUCCUAACUCAAACGCAGUUAAAUUUAAUACAACGUCGUUGGGUCGAGCUUUUGAAAUAUUAUGAUUGUGUUAUAGAUUACCACAUUGGAAACACGAAAAUAUACACACUUUUUUAUACCCUUCUUAACUCAAAUUCAUGCAGUUUCGGUAAAAUUCUUGUCGAAAAAUAUGUAAUUAUUAUAAAAUAAUUAUUUUGUACUUAAAUUAUUAAAAUUUUGAAUUUUAAUUAAUUUUAUAAUUAAUUUUGAUUAAUUUUGAUUAUUUUCGAUAUAUUUGCACAAAGGGCAAAAAACGGCCCGACAAAACCGAGUAGCAAAUUUGAAGCAUCAAGGGGAAAUAAAUUUUCAGCAUAAGAUAAUCUAAAUUAUGUGUAUUAAUUCAUAAUAUAAUUAAUUUUAAUUUUAAUCCAAUUUAAUUUGGGUUAAAUAAAUUAUUAAGAAUUAAUUAUGAAAAAGGAUCUAGUUAAGUUGAACAAAGAAAACCGAACCAACCGAGCACUACCGAAUAUCGUCCCAUAUGCUGGCCCAAUCAGCUUGCUUGACUGAUUAUUUGGCUUGCAAAAUGGCCCUUAAAGACUUCUUCAAAUUGCAUUCAAACCCUCCCCUAUUUGUGCCUUUCUAGAUUUGCCCUUACCUUAAUAUAACAAGUUUGAAAACUUAAAACUUGCCACAUGUGCGGCUGGCCAUAGGGGGACUCUAUGGCUGCUGAGUUUUGCUAAUUUUGUCAGCCAUAUUAACCUAUAGAUACCCCCCUUGGUUGCUCACUUCAAACAUAUUUCAACUCUUCUCAUCUCUUCACUUCUCUCUCAUUUUUCUCUCUUUAUUUCCCUUCCAUUAUUCUUCAUUCCCUUGCUGAUUUCACCUCUUGAAAAAGAGUCAUUCAUCCACCAUUUGGAGCAGCAUUCAAGUGUUUGUAGAAGCCUCGGUUCGACAAGAACAAGCGAAGGAGGAGUGGAGCAAACUAGUCAAGCCACAGAGAGAACACCAGAUUUGAUUCUUAUUCCCUACCCUUUUAAUUUUGUUGUUAUGAUAAACAUUGUAAUAGGCCCAAUCUGCCUCGACCCGUUAGUGAAAUAAAUCAAAUAAAAAAAUGAAUAAAAUAAAUAAAAUUAAAAAUUAAAAGUCCAAUAAAAACAGUCCAAUACAAGUUAUUAACCCAUUAAGGCCUACUAAAAUUUAAACCCACUUUGCCUAGACCUUGGCCCAAUCACGAAGCAGCCCAACAAGAAAAAUUAGAAACGGAAAACCCCUAUGGUUUCCAGUUUUUUCAGCGUCGUAGCCAGCACGCUCCCCUCAGCCUCACGCACGCACCACUAAAGCGAGCCUCCGUACGCGCAUUGAAAAACGACGCUGUUUAGAAGCCUCCGACCUGCGCGGUGACCCGAUCCGGGGAGGAUUCGUGUGUGUUCUAGCAUUUGGGUAUAUUGCGCAAAAGGGCCCUUCUAUCCUUGCACAUUUCUAUAUCGGUCCUUUUUAUUUUUAUUUUUUUUUGCCCUGCGUUCUGAUAUGGCGUCAUUUCGGUCCGUGCAAAGACGUUGCAUUUUGGAGUACGAAAAAUAAUUCCCAUUUGGUCCCCAUGUUAUCCGCACGUCACGGUUUGACUCGCCAUGUUAUUCUAUUUUUGACAUUUUCCCUUCAAUUCUGUUUUAUUUCUAAUUUAAUCCCUAUUAAUUCAUCUUAAUAUUUUUUUUCCAUAAAUUCGUUACUUAAUGUUAUAAAUCUUUUAUGUUUUAGAUAUCAUCUUAAUAUGAUUUAUACAUACCUUUUUGUUUGUUUUCGUUCAUGAACGCAUAUAUAUGUAAUAAACUUUAAAAUUUUUAAUAAUAAUGCUUUAUAGUUUUAUAUAUAUAGGCAUAUAUAGUAUUUUUAGUAGUUUAUGUACGUAUGCAUAUAAUGAUGUAUUAUUAAUUUCAAAUGAUAUUUUCUUAUGCAUAAAAGCCUUAUUCCUUUUAAAUUUGUUAUUUUACUUGAUUUAUUUAAAUUUUAUAUAUCAUUAUUAGGUAUAUACUAUUAAUUUUACUAAGCUUUAUUUAUAUAAAUUAGAAUGUAUAUAUUAACUUCAAGUUGUUCACUUUUAUUUUGCUACGUUAUUUAUUUAUUUCUUUAGUUUUUAAUCUUUCGUUAAAAUUCAUUCAAACCUUUUAUUUGUUUUCUUAGUUCUAAUACCAAAUUGAAUCAAACAUUCAUAUUACUUAUCGUUAUUAUUGUCUGUUUAAUUGAUUAUAAUUUUAUAGGUUGCUUAAUUUUUAAUAUGGAUGUUUGAAUGAUAUAAUUAGAGCCAAUGUUUGUAUUUGCCUAUUAUUUGUUAAAUUACCUCUAGUUUAAGUUUGGAUUGUUAUUUAUCUUUUACAUUAUAAGUAUCGUUGUUUAAUCAUGUUCUUUUUGUAAGAAUUGAUUUUUUUUAUUAAAGUUUCAUAAUUGUUUUAUUUCAUGAUCCUGAAAAAGGGGCUUGGUGUUCAUAAAUUCCCGAGAGAAUCGUGCCCUAACUUACUGGACUUCGAUUCUUCUCGAUGAACUUAGAUAAUCAAGCGCCCAUUUUAUAAUAAAAUAAAAACCUUCAAUUAUUAAAAUAAAAUUCUUAAGAUUUCAAAAUGUUAGAUCCUAACUUACUAGAUAUGACAUUUUGUUAUCUCGAUUUUAAAAAAAAUAAAGGUAAUGUCGGUUGUUUAAGAAUUUCGAGAGAUCAAACCCUAACUUACUGGGUUCAAAUUUCUUGAUUGACUUAAAUAAUCGAAUCUCCUUUUUAAAUCACAUGAUUUUCUAAAAAAGGGAACAAAUCUAAUUUCAGAGAUUGAAUUGUUACACCCUAACUCACUGAGUGUGACAACUUAUCUCUGCAAAACGAGUACAUCUUACUGCUCAAAUUGGUUUAUUCAAAUUUGAAAUUAAAAAGGGUUGUAUUUUUUAAAAAUCUUUUCAAAGUUUCGACAUUAAGACAUCAAACAAUCAAUUCAGUACCGAUUUUGGGCGUCACGAGGGUGCUAACCCUUCCUCGUGAGUAAUCGACUCCCGAACCUGUUUUUUCAAAUCUCGAAUACCUAAAAUUUAUUUUAAUGGUGAACCGAUCACACCUUAAUAAAAGACCGGUGGCGGCUCCCACUUUAUUUUUAAAGGUCGAUCCCUGUUUUUCAAAUAAUAAAAUUGGUUUCGACAGCUAGCCGACUCUACUGGGGAUGCCAAGAGAGUCAGGCCAUAAAAUUGAUUGUUUUGUCUUAUUGUCAAAAAUUAAAAUUGGGUUUUUAAAAUUUUAUGAUCUUCUCUUUGCAUUUAUUUGUAUGGUCAUUGUAAAUUGUACUUUUAUACCUUGGCAUCAUAUUGCAUAAAGACUGUUUAGUCUUACCCUUUUUAAGUGGGAGUGAGAAGCUACUCCUUCGUGAGGGUUUCACCUCCAUGCAGGAUAGUGAAUCACUUUCGGGAUACAUCCGUCCCUAUAUCUUCGUGAGAUUUUCAUCUCCGUGCAGCCAUAGGGAAAUAUAUUCUCCUGAACCGAACUCGGCUUGUAUGAGGCUAUAAUGGGUGAAGAUCGAGGAAUCUGCUGGUUCGGGUACCUUGACUAUUAGAACCAAACCGCAUAUAGAUAGCCUAGGAACCCAACCUAGGUAGAACUUCCCCAAACCCUAGGGAUUGCCCGUAUAAAUGCUUGUUUCUCUCGUAUUUGUUGCAAAUUUUGUUUAUAUAUUAUACUGACUUAUGGUGUUUUAUUGCUAUGUUUGCAUGCCAUUUCAUAUUCGAAAGAGUGUCGAUUCAAGUUCGAUUGUUAAAUUAGGAAGUUUGUCAUGGAGAACGACUUUCUUGAUAAAGUGGAAGACAAUGCCACUGUCCGUAUAUGGUCAGAGAAAGUGCAAUUGGAAAAGGGAGACAGUCUAGCCAAGGAUUAUGUGUUAGAGCUGUGGGACUACACUCGUAUUAGUGUGACGCAAAAUAGCCUUCAGGAGCUAAGGGAAAUAUGGGAUAAGUGGAAUGAUGAGAACAAGCAGUUGGUCUACUCUAAUUAUGGAGACUUGCCAUAUUUGCUUGACAUCAAGGUGGAUGAACAAUUGUUUCGGGCCCUUGCUCAAUAUUGGAAUCCUGCAUAUAGCUGUUUCACUUUUGGCAGAGUAGAUCUAGUGCCUACGGUGGAGGAAUAUACGGCUUUACUGUAUUGUCCAAGGCUUCAGGUGGAUAAAGCAUAUUCUAGAGCCGCGUAUGUCCCGGCAUUUUGGAAGAAAUUGAUGAAUAUUACUAGCAUGGGCGAGCAGUGGAUCAAGGCCAGGAUCAAGCAGAAAGGGGAGUGUAAAUGUAUUCCAUGGAAGAAUUUACGAGACUUGAUCCUAGCACAUCCUGAUGGGAAAAAGAAGGUCGAUGUGUUUUCUUUGAGUAUCUACGGGUUAGUGAUUUUCCCUAGAGCAUUGGGGCACGUUGACGAAGCGGUUUCAGAUUUCUUUGAUCGGUUGGGUAAAGGGGUCACGCCUGUUCCUGCGAUUUUGGCUGAGACAUUUAGAUCUUUGAACGCGUGUAGGCUAGCUGGUGAAGGCAGAUUUAUAGGUUGUGCACAAUUGUUGAUAGCUUGGUUCCAUAUUCAUUUCUGGAAGGUUGACAAAGUUUCGUAUCGGGUUUUCUCUGGGCAUUACUCCCCGUUAAAAGAGAUAGUGGGUACGCUAAAAAGGGACGACAUAUCAAAAGAAAAUUGGAUAGCAAUUCUGCAAAAUCUUCAAGAGGAUGAUGUGGAAUGGAGAGCUCCUUGGUUGAUUCCUGAUGAAAUUUUCUACCAUUGUGGAAGCUUUGACUGGGUUCCGUUGCUAGGGAUUCGGGGAGUCGUUGGGUAUGCACCUUUACUGGUCCUAAGGCAAUACAAUUCAAGACAGUUUGUGCCGGCAACGCAUGGUUUAGCUCAAUGUGAGUUCUUGUACCGAGGAGAAAAUUACAAUAAAAAGGUGAAAGAAAUUUCUCAGGCUUGGAAUUAGGUUCAUAGAAUGAAAAGGCUAGCUGUGAGUUCGAUGACGACUCUAGAGUACAGUGAGUGGUGAAGUAAGAGAAUUAAUGACAACAUUUCGAAGUUAGACUUGGAGGGUGUUCGACCAAUGGAAGAGUACCUACAAGUAGUCCCAUCAGAGUUGGAGAUUAUAAAACAAGAUUUUGAAAAGAGGAAUUUAGAACUCGAAAAGAAAAUAGAGCGGUUGGAAGAAGAGAAGAUGCAUUUGAGGCUAGACGUUGACGUCCAAAAGUUAGAAGCUGAAAAAUUAAAGAAAGGGAAGAAUAAAGUAGAGGAGGAUCUGGAUAGCUUAAAGACAGACUACAAAAAGUUGCGAGUAUCAAUGAGAACCGCGGGGCAGGGAAAGACUUCAGAGCAAUGGCGAUGGGAGAUCCAGGAAGAAAGAAACAAGGCCGAUGGAUGGGAAAAGAAAUACCAAGAAGCUCAGGUACAAAACAAGGCUUUGGAGAGGAAUCUGUUAGAAAGCCGGAGUGAGACAGAUGAAUUAAAGGCACGAAUAGUUGAACUUGAAAGGUCUCUUCAUCGUUACCGAAAUCGUAAUACCGCGGUGGAGCUAAGAGUGAGCUUGAACAAGAUUGACGAAACAAAGAAAAGAGUAGAAGAAUUAGAGGCGACAUUACAAGACUAUGUGAUGCGGGUGGAGUUUUUCGAAGCGAAUGAAAAACAUCAGAAAGAGCAGCUUCAUUAUUAUCAAAGCCAAGUUAGAGACAGAGAUCACGUUAUAGGAGAAGAUGUGGCCCAGAUUCGGGAGGUAGUCGAUUACUUGCAGACCCUGGCAAUACAAGCUGACACUUUGAGCAUAAAAUACGAGUUGGAAUCAGACCGGGUAAGAGAGCUUGCUUCGCUAUUUAGAAAGAUUAAAGUUCUGAGCAUUAGGGAAAAACUGUAUAUGUAAUCUAUUUUAUGUAAAGAAUUUUUUUUCUAAAUGAAGCUUUCUAAAUGAAAUUGAAUUAGACUCGACGCCUUCUUGCAUUCAUACAUUGCAUUACAUUGCAUCAUAUGCAUUAAAGUCCACUGAAAGACCCUAAUUGGUUAAAAUCAUUACAGUUAACCUGGAAACUGACAAAAGCUUACCAAUUAAGCAUCAAUACGGUACUCAUCGUAAAACUAAGGAAAUGGAUCAAAGAUUAGAGAAAUUGGAGCAAAUGCAAAAGGAUAUGCAAGAACAGUUACAAGCACAAAUGCAAGAGCGGCUAGAUAAAAUCCAAGAAGACAUGAUGGAAAAAUUGAUCAAAGCUCAAAAAGAUGCGAUGGUUGAAUUGACCCAUCUACUGAAGGGAGGAGUAGAUAAAGGAAAAGACCCUAUGGCCGAUCAUGGAGACGGUAGUGAGGAUCCGUUAUAUCCUCCGGGUUUCACUCCAAAUGUACGAACCCAAGCUGAAAUAUACCCAAAAGGACUGUUUGUCAUAAUUAGGCCGCAACAAUUGCAAACUGGUGUCACGACCCCCACAAUUUUUUAGGGACGAUCGAGUUUAAGCCCGGGAAAAAACCCAAUCAAUCAUAUUAUUCCAGAUUUUGAUGAAACAGCUGAAGAAGGAAAGGCGAACGCGGAAUUGCCAAAACAAUGGGAAGAUAGGUAUAAGUGGUUGAAGGAAAAAUUCAAAGCCUUGGAAAGUGCUGAUAGUAAUCAGGGAAUCGACGCUAAAGAUCUAAGCUUAGUCCCAGAUUUAUUACUUCCUCCCAAAUUCAAGAUGCCUGAAUUUGAGAAAUAUAAUAGAACUAGCUACCUCGAAGCCCACAUCACCAUGUUCUGUAGAAGGAUGACUGGCUACGUUAAUAACGAUCAGUUGUUAAUCCACUGUUUCCAAGACAGUUUGGUAGGGGCAGCAUCUAAAUGGUACAAUCAAUUGAGUCGUACCAAAAUUGGUUCAUGGAGGGACCUAGCACAGGCAUUUAUGAAACAGUACAGUCAUGUAACGGAUAUGACCCCUGAUAGAAUUACCCUACAAAAUAUGGAAAAGAAACUGGGUGAGAGUUUCAGACAGUACGCACAAAGAUAGAGGGAAGUUGCCAUCCAAGGCCAGUUGCCGCUCCUGGAAAGAGAAACCACGAUGCUCUUUAUCAAUACCUUAAAAGCCCCGUUCAUCACGCACAUGCUAGGAAGUGCAACAAGAAGCUUCUCAGAUAUAGUAAUGAAUGGCGAAAUGAUUGAGAAUGCCAUAAGAAACAGGAAAAUAGAAGUAGGAGAGAGUAACAAAAGGUUAUCCUUGAGAAGAAAGGAAAAUGAAGUAAACAACGUGAAUACGUACAACAAGUCAAUUACGGUGAACCAACCAAGGAAGGUGGUUGCUAGUCAGUAAGGUUCAGCAAGACAAGAGUCUGGUAUGAGACAAGGUACUAAGAAGCCCCAGUUCACACCAAUUCCGAUGUUAUAUAAGGAGUUGUAUCAGAAUUUGUUCAACGCACACGUUGUUUCUCCCUAUUACUUGACCCCUUUACAACCCCCGUAUCCCAAAUGGUAUGAUGCGAGCGUACAAUGUGAUUACCAUGCAGGAAAUACAGGGCACUCAAUAGAAAAUUAUAUUGCCUUCAAGAAGCUAGUUGAAAGACUUAUUAGCAUGAGUGUUGUCAAGUUUGAUGACUCACCUAGCACAGAAAAGCCGCUACCCAAUCAUACCGAUAAGGGAGUGAAUAUGACGAGCGAAAGUAGGGGAGAAGAAGUCAAGAAUGACAUUGCUGAAGUAAAAACUCUGUUGAAAUGGGUUUGGAGAGAGAUGGUGAAGAGAGGGCUAGUUAUUUCAGAUUUUGUAGAAAGGUAUGAGGCUGAAAACUAUUGUGAAUUCCACCGUAAAGUAGGACAUAAGAUUCAAGAAUGUGAGGGAUUCAAGGCUCUCGUCCAAAACAUGAUGGAUAACAAAGAGAUAAGGUUUUAUGAAGAAGUGGAGGGUAAGAGAAAUAUUUGAGCAUCAGAGUUGGCAACGAAGACUCCGAAAACGAAUCAUCCUGUGGUCAUCAUUUCGUGCCCUUGGAGCAAUGAGUCUAGGGUUCAGAUAACACCAAAAAUUGUAAUCCAGAAACCAUCAAAUUUCUCAUAUAAGGAUAGCAAAAUGGUGCCGUGGAAUUAUGGGUGCAAUGUGACAAUAUCGGGAAAAGAACUGGAGAGAAAUCAGGAAAUGGGUCCUUACACGCGCAAUGGGAAGCGAUAUGACGCUCAUGCAGAAUCGUCAAGAGAAGAGAAUUGGAAGAAAGAGCAGAGGAAAGGGAAGGCAGUGGAAGUUGAGCCAUUGGUUAAUGAACCAAUAAAAGAAAAAGAGGCAAAGGAGUUUUUGAAGUUUUUGAAACACAGCAAAUACAGCGUUGUGGAACAACUGCGCAAAGAGCCGACCCACAUUUCUAUAUUAGCUUUGUUCUUAAGUUCAGAAGUACAUCGAAAGGAACUAUUGAAAGUACUAAAUGAAACAUAUGUGGCUGAUGAUAUUUCGGUAAACAAGCUGGAUCGGUUGGUCAACAAUAUAAGUGCUGACAAUUUUAUCUUCUUCAGUGAUGACGAAAUACCAUCUGGAGGAAGGGGUUCUACUAAAGCCCUGCAUGUUACCGCUCGAUGUAAUGGGCACACACUCCCGGAGGUCUUGGUUGAUAAUGGAUCCGUACUGAACGUAUUGCCUUUAUAUACUCUUAAUCGGUUAUCGGUGGACAGUUCACACAUGAAAGCGUGCUAGAGCAUAGUAAGGGCGUUUGAUGGAACAGAAAAGAGGGUUAUGGGGAGAAUUGAGAUACCGUUAAGGAUUGGCCCAAUUACUUAUGAGGUGGACUUCUUGGUAAUGGAUAUUAAGCCUUCCUACAACUGUUUAUUGGGAAGACCAUUGAUACACUCAGUCGGGGCAGUACCUUCAUCGCUACAUCAGAAGGUGAGGUUAGUAUCAGAAGGUCGGUUAAUAACAAUAAAUGUAGAGGAAGAUAAUAUCGCAACAAUAACUGGUGAUGCACCUUAUGUGGAAAUUAACGAUGAGGUAGUGGAAUGUUCUUUUAAGUCAUUAGAAUUUGUCAACACGAUGUUUAUUGCUGAAGGAAGUAGAAUUCCGGUACCGAAAAUAUCCAGGACCACAGAGAUGAGGAUGUGAUUGAUGAUUGGAAGAGGAGCUUCACCUGGGAAAGGAUUGGGAAAAUAUCUUCAAGGAAAGAUUGAAGCACCGAUGCUGAAGGAAAAGUUUGAUAGUUUUGGCUUAGGAUACAAGCCAGACAUGAAGUAGAAGAAGAAAAAAGUAGAGAAAAGACAAAAGAGAAGAAGGGCACGUUUGAGAGGAUAUGAAGUUAAAUGGGAGCCUUUGACCUUUCCCCACAUAUCUACAUCUUUUGUGUCAGGUGGGCUUAUUCACCCUGAGCGAGGAGUGUCCAGAAGUGAAGGCAUUGAAGAAAUGUUGGAAAAUGUUCAUAUUAAUGCUAUAGAAACAACAGAGAAAAAGACCCUGUUGGAGAUCUGCCCUUAUGAACCUGGGAGCGAGCUAAACAAUUGGACUGCGGAAGAAAUCCAUGUAGUCUUUAGGGCUUAUUCAGAGUAAUGCUCAGAACAUUCUUGUUGUUUUAGCUUGGAAAUGAUAGGAAAUCCUUUGUGAGAAAGGCUUGAGCCUGAAUAUCAUUAUUCUAAUGAAAUACAUAUUUACAUUCAUUGCGAGCAAUUAUUCCUUUUCUUUUCAUGCAAGUAAAUAUUUUCUAUUUGAUUGAUUGUCUUCCAAAUAAUUCUUUCAUUUGUAACCUUAUUGUACAAAUAAUUAUUCAUAAAUUUAUAUAUUCUUGGUAUAUUCUUGGUAUAUUCUUUGAUAUUCCCUCAUAGGUCCUUAGAUAUCAAUGACAUGAGUGACACUGCUUCAAACACGGAGCCUCUUUCUGAGCAAGACAUGUGUUUAGAGGGAUCUCAGGACUUUAAAAAUGAUGAAGACUGGGGUAUAUCUCCGGACUUGUCGAGAAUGGUAGAACAAGAGGAUAAGCAGAUCCUACCUUAUAAGGAAUCAUUAGAAAUCGUGAGCCUAGAGGAAGGAAAGGAGGUGAAAAUUGGAACUGAAAUCACCGCAAAGACAAAACAAGACCUUAUUGAAUUGUUCUGAGAGUUCAAAGAUGUUUUCGCGUGGUCAUACCAAGAUAUGCCCGGCCUGAGUACUAGCAUUGUGGUACAUCGUCUGCCCAUAAAAGAAAAUUGUAAACCAGUUCAGCAGAAGCUCAGGAGGAUGAGACCUGAUGUUGUGCUAAAAAUAAAAGAAGAAGUCAAGAGACAGUUCAAUGUUGGAUUCUUACAAGAGAUCAAAUAUUCAGAUUGGGUAGCAAACAUCGUCCCCGUUCCCAUGAAAGAUGGAAAGGUAUGGAUGUGCAUGGAUUACAGGGACUUGAAUAAGGCUAGUCCAAAGGACAAUUUUCCGUUGCCUCACAUUGAUACUUUGGUAGACAACACGGCAGGCUACUCACUAUUCUCUUUCAUGGAUGGCUUUUCUGGAUACAAUCAAAUAAAGAUGCACCCCGAAGAUAUGGGGAAAACAAUAUUCAUUACCUUAUGGGGAACAUUUUGUUACAAAGUAAUGCCCUUCAGAUUGAAGAAUAUGGGAGCAACGUAUCAAAGAGCUAUGGUGACUUUGUUUCAUGACAUGAUGCAUAAGGAGGUCGAAGUCUAUGUUGAUGAUAUGAUUGCAAAGUCUAGAACUGAAGAAGAGCAUGUUCAAGUCUUAAAAAGAUUAUUUUUGAGAUUGAGGAAAUUUCAGCUCAAGCUUAACCAAGCAAAAUGCACGUUCGGAGCCCGAUCAGGGAAGUUAUUGGGCUUCAUAGUUAGCAGAAAGGGGAUUGAGGUUGACCCAGACAAAGUGAAGGCAAUCCGAGACCUGCCUCAUUCGCGCACUCAGAAAGAAGUCUGAAUUUUUCUAGGAAGAUUAAAUUACAUUGCUCGAUUCAUCUCACAAUUGACCGAGAAAUGUGAUCCAGUAUUCCGUCUUUUGAAGAAGCAUAAUCCGGGUGAUUGGGAUGAGGAAUGUCAGGAGGCUUUUGACAAGAUAAAGUAAUAUUUGGCUAAUACUCCCGUACUAUCACCGCCAAGUCCAGAUAGGCCAUUGAUAUUGUAUCUAACGGUGUUUGAGAAUUCCAUGGGAUGUGUAUUGGGCCAACACGAUGAAACGGGAAAGAAAGAAAGGGCAAUAUACUAUCUCAGCAAGAAAUGCACUAGCUGUGAAAUGAGAUACUCAUCAAUCGAGAAAUUGUGUUGUGCUUUAAUCUGGGCAACACGAAGACUAAGGCAGUAUAUGUUGUAUCAUACGACUUGGCUGAUUUCAAAGUUGGAUCCUUUAAAAUAUAUGAUGGAAUCAACUGCUUUAAACGGGAGAAUGGCUAGAUGGCAGAUCUUGCUUUCUGAAUUUGACAUAGUAUAUGUAUGUCAGAAGGCCAUAAAGGGGAGUGCAAUAGUUGAUUUUCUGGCUAGUAGAGCCUUGGAGGACUAUGAGCCUUUAAACUUCGACUUUCCAAAUGAGGACUUGAUGUAUGUGGCAAACACUAAAGAAAAUCCUCAAAGGGAUCACGUGUGAAGGUUAAAUUUCGACAGAGCUUCGAAUGCUAUGGGUAAUGGAAUUGGAGCAGUCUUGGUAUCCCCAAGUGGAGAUCAUUACCCUGUGGCUAGCAAGUUGGACUUUGAUUGCACGAAUAAUAUGGCAGAAUAUGAAGCAUGUAUUAUGGGCAUUCGUGUAGCCAUUGAAUGAAACAUCAAAAUGCUAAGAGUGUAUGGGGAUUCCGCAUUGGUAAUAUACCAACUCAAAGGGGAAAGGGAAACUAGAGACCCUAAGUUAAUCAGUUAUAGAAAGCUGGUCCUCGAAUUGGUUGAUGAGUUUGACGAUAUCACCUUCUGUUAUCUCCCGCGGGAGGAAAACCAAAUGGAUGAUGCAUUGGCUACUCUGGCUUCGGUGAACAGAUUUGAGGUAAUGAGGCCUAUUCAGAUGAGUAUCUAUGAAACCCCAGCUCAUUGCUACAGUAUUGAGAAGGAAGGAAAUGAUGAUCAUCCUUGGUAUCAGAGUAUCCUACAGUAUGUGAAGAAUAUGGACUACCCUAGUCAAGCAACAGAGAAUGACAAGAGAAAUCUGAGAAGAAUAGCCAUUGAAUAUGUCUUAGAUGGGGAAGUGCUAUACAAAAAAAGGAAAGAUCAAGUACUGUUAAGAUGUGUGGAUGCCGUGGAAGCCAAGAAAAUUUUGGAGGAAGUCCAUGAGGGUAUCUAUGGGACGCACGGCAAUGGUUUCACCAUGGCCAGACAGAUCAUGAGAUUUGGAUACUAUUGGUCCACUAUGGAAGGGGAUUGCAUUAAUUAUGCAAAGAAAUGCCAUAAAUGUCAGAUUUAUGGAGACAAGAUGCAUACAUCCCCUUUACCACUUCACGUCAUGACCUCUCCAUGGUCGUUUUCCAUGGAGGGUAUGGAUGUCAUUGGGCCGAUAUCACCAAAGGCUUCUAAUGGGCAUCGUUUCAUCUUCGUGGUCAUUGAUUAUUUUACCAAAUGGGUAGAAGCUGCUUCAUACGCAAAUGUCACGAAGUCGGCAGUCAGCAAGUUCUUGAAAAAAGAGAUCAUUUGUCGAUAUGGAAUGCCUGAGAGAAUCAUAUCCGACAAUGUGUUGAAUUUGAACAAUAGCACAAUAGCGGAGGUUUGCAGCCAAUUUAAAAUCAAACAUCAUAACUCGUCACCGUAUCGUCCAAAAAUGAAUGGUGCAGUGGAGGCGGCCAAUAAGAACAUUAAAAGAAUCGUGGGGAAAAUGACGGAAACUUACAAGGAUUGGCAUGAGAAAUUAUCAUUUGCUCUCCUUGCUUAUCGAACAUCCAUUAGAACUUCUACCGGGGCAAUACCUUUUUCUCUAGUUUAUGGAAUGGAGGCAGUAUUACCCAUUGAAGUUGAGAUCCCUUCUCUAUGGGUGUUAUCUGAACUACAGUUGGACGAAGCCGAAUGGGUCCAAUCUCGGUACGAUCAGUUGAACCUAAUAGAGGAAAAGAGGUUAAGAGCCAUUGGUCAUGGGCAAAUGUACCAGAAACGAAUGAUGCGAGCCUAUAAUAAAAAGGUUCGCCCUAGAGAAUUUCGCGAAGGAGACUUGGUGCUAAAAAAAGAUUCUUCUUAUACAAAAAGACUUUAGAGGAAAAUGGAUGCCAAAUUGGGAAGGUCCUUACGUUGUAAAGAAGGCCUUUUUCGGUGGAGCUUUGAUCCUAAGUGAGAUGGAUGGUAAAAGCUUGCCAAACCCCGUAAACGCAGAUUCCGUCAAGAAAUACUUCACUUGAAAGAAGGGGGACCAAAGUGAAAACCCGCAAAGGGCACUUUGCUUCCUAAAAAAAAAGGUAUUUGGAGAGGCCAAGGUGAAAACCCGCCAAGGGCGCCUUGAGACCAAAGGGGAUUUGAGUCGAAAACCUGAAAAGGGCGGCUCAAAUAUUGAUCAGAGUGGGGCAUAAGGAGAUUGGAAAUGUUCAAAUUUUGAUUCGGGCACACGAUGAUCUUGCUAUACCUAAACCAACAAGAAAGGGUAUACGACAUCUUGGAGCAUGGACAGAGUACUGCAGAUCUCCUAACCACAUGUCUAACUCAGAAUAGUCUUCAGAAGUUUGUACAGAGAAAUUCAAGCUACAAUCACUGGGACACCUAGUUAUUAUUUUAUUGAAUAUGUUAUUCUUGAAAAUACCUUUUUUCUUUUUGAUAAUAUACACAUUCUCAAUCAACUUCUUUGUUAUUCUUCUGUAGCUAUUGUCGAUAUUUUGUCUCUUUUGAGCUAUGCUCAGAACCAACUUUUAUUCAUAGUUAUAAUCUUUCAGCAAAUUGCAUUGGAAUAAUGAUUAAUGAACUACUAGAACUUUUACAAAGGAAGUUUUGCAUGUUACUCUGAAAAAGUUUCUAAAUAAUACAGUAACCUGAAACAGGACUAUUGUUUAGAACAAACCAGGAUUAAAGGUCAGAAAUCUAAGAAAAGUCUGAUUUUUAAACAAUCCAUUUUGGAUUUUGUUGACAGAAGCAUCGAUUGAACGAAAUGUCAGCAAUAAUCAUGAGUUAGAAAGAUGAGAUCUUUUUGGAGGAAAAUUCUUCGUGCACAAGUAUUUGAUGUGGCAUCUUGUGAAUGGCGUGUAAACCAAAGAUUUACUCAUUUGGUAUCCUUCGAUUGUGAUUGAAAAGAAUGAAAAAUGAUUGGAUCUCCUCAUUUUUUUGAGUUGCAUAGUGAACACAACUCAGUGAAUCGAGCUUGGAGGUUUACAGCGGGGGUAUUUUAAUUAAGCAUUUUGUUGAAAGCACCAGCCAUGAAGGAGGGUAUUAAGCACGAUUGUGACAAAAGCCUUAAUAUAUUUUGAGUAAUACAGCAGCAUCUUGCAUUCAUGAAAAUACUAUUCACUCAUGUCUAGUUAGGAGCAUUGGAUUCAUUCUGAUCAUGUCAUCCUAAUCAUUAGGCAUAAUUAGGUUCAUUACACAUGUUAUGUUCCCUAGAGAACAGAUCAGUAAAGAUAGCAGAUCUUAUCUCCCUAAGAAGUAGUGGAGCAAAUCAAAGACGGCAAAUCUUAUCUUUCCAAGAUAGUGAGAAGCAGAUUUAAGCCACCAGGCCUUGUCUCCCUGAGCAGUAGCGAAGUAGGUUGAAGACACCAGAUCUUAUCUCCCUAAGCAGUAGUGGAGCAGAUCAAGGACGACAAAUCUUAUCUUUCCAAGAUAGUGGGAAAUAGAUUUAAGCCACCGGGCCUUAUCUCCCUAAGCAGUAGUGGAGCAGAUCAAAGACGGUAAAUCUUAUCUUUCCAAGAUAGUGGGAAGCAGAUUUAAGCCACCAGGCCUUGUCUCCCUGAGCAGCAGCGGAGUAGGUUGAAGAUAGCAGAUCUUAUCUCCCUAAGAAGUAGUGGAGCAGAUCAAAGAUGGAAAAUCUUAUCUUUCCAAGAUAGUGGGAAGCAGAUUUAAGCCACUGAACCUUGUCUCCCUCAGCAGCAGCGGAGUAGGUUUAAGAUAGCAGAUCUUAUCUCCUUAAGUAGUAGUGGAGCAGAUCAAAGACGGCAAAUCUUAUCUUUCCAGGAUAGUGGGAAGCAGAUCUAAGCCACCGAGCCUUGUCUCCCUGAGCAGCAGUGGAGUAGGUUGAAAAUUACAGGUUUUAUCUCUUUGAAGUUGCAGUAGAGCAGAUCGCAUCAGACUUAUCUUUAAAGUUGCAGCAGAACAAGUUAAAGUUACAAGUCCUAUCUCCCUGAUGUUGCAGUGGAGUGGAUCGAAGCACCAAUUCCUACACCUCUGAAGAGGCAGUAGGGCUACCAAGGUCUGACACGACUGGGCAAAAUUGGUCCUUUUUAGUCUUUGCUUCAUCCCCGUCACACGACAUUGAGCAAAGAGGGGCAGCUGUAAUAGGCCCAAUUUGCCCGGCCCGUUAGUGAAAUAAAUCAAAUAAAUAAAUGAAUAAAAUAAAUAAAAUUAAAAAUUAAAAGUCUAAUAAAAAUAGUCCAAUACAAGUUAUUAACCCAUUAAGGCCUACUAAAAUUUAAACCCACUUUGCCUAGUCUCUGGCCCAAUCACGAAGCAGCCCAACAAGAAAAAUCAGAAACGGAAAACCCCUAGAGUUUCCAGUUUUUUCAGUGUCGCAGCCAGCACGCUUCCCUCAGCCUCAUGCACGCACCACUCACGCGAGCCUCCGUACGCGCGCACCCGCGCACAUCCUUACGUGCCACGUCCUCGGCCCUGCACGCUGUACCUGCAAGAGAUGAACGAACGAGCAGUAAAACAGACACCAACAGCACACAAAAGGAACAGAGAAAGAAAAUGAAAAGGACAAAACGGGGGUGAUUUGUUUUUAUUUUGUCAUUUUUAUUUUUUGUAAAUAGAGACUAUAAAAGACUAAGACUAUGCUGUAACACUGACUUACGCAAUCAGAAUACAAAAACACCAAAAAGGUGAUUUCUGGUUUCCUUUUUCUUCUUUCGCAGUUUUUUUUCUUCUUUCAUUUUUACAUCUAUCAAUUGUUUUUGAAAAAGAUAACCAAAAGAGCAAGAGGUACCUUGCCACCAGACCUUUUGCUCUUUCUCCAUCGUCAUCGGAGUUUGGGAGCAAGGUUCGAGGAGUAUCUGAAAGGGGGCGAUAAACCGUCGAGCGGCGUAUAAAUGGGGCCUAGGGUUUAACUUCCUUUUUCUUUUGUUUCUUUUUUAAAAUUUGUUUUGAAAAUGAAAAGGGGGGUUGCUGAUCAGGUUAAUGGGGUGCUUAUGUGCGUUGAAAAACGACGUCGUUCAGAAGCCUCCGACCCGCGCGGUGACCCGAUCUGGGGAGGAUCUGCGCGUCUUCUAGCAUUUGGGUAUAUUGCGCAAAAGGGCCCUUCUGCCCUUGCACGUUUCUAUAUCGGUCCUUUUUAUUUUUAAGUUUUUUUUGCCCUGCGUUCUGAUAUGGCAUCAUUUCGGUCCGUGCAAAGACGUUGUGUUUUGGGGUAUGGGAAAUAUUUCCCAUUUGGUCCCCAUGUUAUCCGCACGUCACGCUUUGACCCGCCAUGUUAUUCUAUUUUCGACAUUUUCCCUUCAAUUCUAUUUUAUUUCUAAUUUAAUCCCUAAUAAUUCAUCUUAAUAUUUUUUUCCAUAAAUUCGUUACUUAAUGUUAUAAAUCUUUUAUGUUUUAGAUAUCAUCUUAAUAUGAUUUAUACAUACCUUUUUGUUUGUUUUCGUUCAUGAACGCAUAUAUAUGUAAUAAACUUUAAAAUUUUUAAUAAUAAUGCUUUAUAGUUUUAUAUAUAUAGGCAUAUAUAGUAUUUUUAGUAGUGUAUGUACAUAUGCAUAUAAUGAUGUAUUAUUAAUUUCAAAUGAUAUUUUAUUAUGCAUAAAAGCCUUAUUCCUUUUAAAUUUGUUAUUUUACUUGAUUUAUUUAACUUUUAUAUAUCAUUAUUAGGUAUAUACUAUUAAUUUUACUAAGUUUUAUUUAUAUAAAUUAGAAUGUCUAUAUUAACUUCAAGUUGUUCACUUUUAUUUUGCUACGUUAUUUAUUUAUUUCUUAAUCUUUCGUUAAAAUUCAUUCAAACAUUUUAUUUGUUUUCUUAGUUCUAUUACCAAAUUGAAUCAAACAUUCAUAUUACUUAUCAUUAUUAUUGUCUGUUUAAUUGAUUAUGAUUUUAUAGGUUGCUUAAUUUUUAAUAUGGAUGUUUGAAUGAUAUAAUUAGAGCCAAUGUUUGUAUUUGCCUAUUAUUUGUUAAAUUACCUCUAGUUUAAGUUUGGAUUGUUAUUUAUCUUUUACAUUAUAUGUAUCAUUGUUUAAUCAUGUUCUUUUUGUAAGAAUUGAUUUUUUUUAUUAAAGCUUCAUAAUCGUUUUAUUUCAUGAUCCUAAAAAAGGGGCUUGGUGUUCAUAGAUUCUCGAGAGAAUCGUGCCCUAACUUACUGCGCUCCGAUUCUUUUUGAUGAACUUAGAUAAUCAAGCGCCCAUUUUAUAUUUAAAAAAACCUUCAAUUAUUAAAAUAAAAUUCUUAAGAUUUCAAAAUGUUAGAUCCUAACUUACUGGAUAUGACAUUUUGUUAUCUUGAUUUUGAAAAAAAUAAAGGCAAUGUCGAUUGUUUAAGAAUUACGAGAGAUCAAACCCUAACUUACUGGGUUCGAAUUUAUCGAUUGACUUAAAUAAUCUAAUCUCCUUUUUAAAUCACAUGAUUUUCUAAAAAAGGGAACAAAUCUAAUUUUAGAGAUUGAAUUGUUACACCCUAACUCACUAAGUGUGGCAACUUAUCUCUGCAAAACGAGUACAUCUUACUGCUCAACUUGGUUUAUUCAAAUUUGAAAUUAAAAAGGGUUGUAUUUUUUAAAAAUCUUUUCAAAGUUUCGACAUUAAGACAUCAAACAAUCAAUUCGGUACCGAUUUUGGCCGUCACGAGGGUGCUAACCCUUCCUCGUGAGUAACCGACUCCCGAACCUGUUCUCCCAAAUCUCACAGACCUAAAAUUUAUUUUAAUGGUGAACCGAUCACACCUUAAUAAAAGACCGGUGGCGGCUCCCACUUUAUUUUUAAAGGUCGAUCCCUGUUUUUCAAAUAAUAAAAUUAGUUUCGACAAACAUGUCUAUGAAUAUUUAUGAUGUCUAAAUGUUUAAUUUAAUUAAAAUAGCUUAAAUUUAAUCCGUGUUAGGUUGAUUGCAUUUUGUUUACUUGAGUUAUUAAAAUUGUGUUUUUAUUGUUAUAGGCAUCGAUAAGAUGUUUGAUUAAGUAAAAUCAUGACUAAGUUAUUCUUGCGUUACAAUUGUAAGGUAUCCAAUGAAUUAAUUAUUUAAUCGGAUUGAAAGUGUAAUUAUUUGACACGAUACUUAAUCAGUGCAUGUUUAAUCAUCUAAGGUAGUUGAGGGUUAAAUUAGCAACGGUAUCUAACGAUACAUUAGCCUUGCAUAACUUGCAAGAUUAUUGUGAUUAAACUAUUUCAAGGUAGAAAUUCAUUAUUACCUCACGUAAUCUUUUAUGUGCUUAUGAGAUUGAAUUAAUUGUUUGAAUUGGCAUAGAGAUAUGUACAAGAGAUUAUUUUAAUUUCAUAAGUAUGUAGGUGCAUUAACACAUUUGCUUAUUAAAAUUUGUUUAAUCGGUUGAAUUGGCAUAGAGAUAUAGUCAAGAGAUAAAUAGAUUUUGGUAGGUAAAUAUGUUCAUAAGUUAGUAAAUUACCAAGUUGUCGUGAAUUUAUUCGUAACAACAUGAAAAUGAGUUUAAUAAUUCUAAGCUAAGAAAUGUAAUUAAUCUAACACAAUUAUGUCAUAUUGAUUAAAAUCAUCUUUUGAAAUCGUGCAUUGAAACUUUUAUUUUCUUUUAAUUUCUUUUACUUAGUUAAAAAUCUUAGUUUUCAAUCAUCUCCUCAAAUUAAAAUAUUUUUCUUCACCAAAGUGUUUUAAAUUGCAUUCAUAAAUAAUUCUUUUCACAGUCCCUGUGGGUACGGUAACUCGACAUUUACUUGUCACUUUAUUACUUAUUGUGAUUGUGUACAGUUGCACAUUUCCGUCAUUCCAAUUUUUUGGCACUGUUGCCGGGGACUAUUUUAAAAGACAUUAUUUGUGAAAUUGUUAAUUUUGCAUUUUGGUCUAUUUUUUCUGUUAAAUUUUAAUUCCAUUUUUUGUGUUUAUUUGUUUCGGGUGUUUAUGAGUAUUGAUCAAAUUAUUGACUUACUCCUCGUAGAGCCUAAAAUUGAAAGAACUUUCUGACAAAGGAGAAGACAAGCAAACCAAAGAAAGACCGAAGAUAUGAAUUUCAAAAAUCCAAACCAAAAUCCAGGAGGAACAUUCGCUUAUAAACUCACAAUCUGAUCAUUGAUGCUGAUGAUAGAAACUGUGUCAUUCGACAAUAUGUCAUUCUUCUAUUCAACAAGCUUAAUUUGAGUAUUAGAAUACCCAAAAUAGAGACACAACAAUUCGAGCUGAAGCCGGUCAUGUUCCAAAUGUUGCAAAAUAUGGGUCAAUUUAGUGGGAUUCCUACUGAAGAUCCAGAUCUUCAUCUUCAGCUAUUCAUGGAAGUGAGUGACUCAUUUAAACUAGUCGGGGUGACUGAGGAUGCCUAAAGACUGAGAUUAUUUCCAUACUCCUUAAGAGAUAGAGCACGAGCGUGGUUGGACUCCCUACCGUCUAGUUCCAUAACUACAUGGCAAGAGUUGGUUGAACAUUUCUUAAUGAAUUAUUUCCCUCUAUCUUUAACUGCCAAGAUCCGAAAUGAAAUCACUUCAUUUCAGCAACUUGAUGAAGAAUCUUUAUAUGAGGCAUAGGAGCGGUUCAAGUAGUUAUUACGAAAGUGCCCUUAUCACGACAUUCCUUACUGUGUUCAAAUGGAGACUUUCUAUAUUGGUCUCAAUAUUCAUACUAGAAUGAUGGUGGAUGCUUCAGCAAAUAGAGACCUUCUUUCUAAGUCUUUUAACAAUGCUUACGAGAUUAUUGAAAGAAUUACCAACAAUAACUAUCAGUGGCCAACCAACCAAGCAACCCCAAAAAGACGAGUAGCAGGAGUACAUGAAGCGGACAAACUUGCUUCUUUGGCAGCCCAGGUAUCCUCUAUGUCUUUUAUGCUUAAGAACAUAAUUGUUAAUGGUUUCAAUGGCAAUCUGCCAGGUCAGCAGCCGAACCAGUUCGAGGAUAUUUCUUGUGAGUACUGUGGAGAUAGGCAUUUCUUUGAAAAUUUCCCAUCGAAUCAAGAGUUAAAUUAUUACAUGGGAAAUCAAAAUUGGAAUGGUCCACAGUCAAAUUCUUACGACACUUUAUGAAAGAAUCUUCAAAUUUCUCCAUGGAGUAAUCAAUGGGUGGACCAUAACAACUCUUCUAUGUCAUAUCGACCAAAUUAUCUGCCAAAAUAUUCUCAACAAGUGCAACUACCCACACCAACUGAAUCUUCAAGUAAUCUUGAGAAUUUGCUGAAGGCGAACAUAGCGAAGAAUGAUGAACUAAUCCAAAGCCAAGUAGCAACAUUGAAAAAUUUAGGAAACCAAGUGGGACUGCUAGCCAAUGAGCUUAGAAGUAGACCCCAAGGUAUUUGGUUGAGUGAUACAGAAAUUCUGAGAAGCACGGGCAAAGAGCAUUGCCAAAACCGUCACUUUACAAAGUGGGAAGACAUGGGAACCCAAAGCUAUCGAGGUUGAAGAUAAGCCUAUUGUAGCUCAAGGAAAAGAGCAAGUUCAACUGAGUGAUGAAACUCCUAUUCCACAAAAUUCAGAUACGCUGAUCCUUGAUGAGGUAAACUCUAAACCAGUUAGUUCUAAUUACGUAACACCUUUGUCAGAUAUAGAAAAUUUUCCACAGAAGAUUUGUCCAGUUAAAGCUAAGAUUCCACCACUGCCAUAUCCUCAACGAUUCUAGAAGUUGUAAAAUGAUACUCAGUUGAAAGAAAUCUUUGAUGACGAGGCGACUUUUAAUGACUUCGAUGCUACUAAAUCCCCAGAUAUAGUUAAAGACUGCUCUACUAUUUCCAAGAAGGAAUCACUAGCAUCUAUAGAAUUGGAGCUCAAUUCUUUAGACGAUCUGUUAGAACAUAUUCUACUGGAGGAUUCACCAAGUGAUGAUGAAGACAAGGAAUGUUUGGCUUGUUUAGAAGCCAAUUUGAAGGAAUCCACUCAAGAAGUUCCACCUGAAUCAUUAGAGUUAUCAUCUCAGGAGUAUACAAAACCAAAGUCAUUGAUUGAAGAGCCAGCUAAAUUGGAACUGAAUAUUUUGUCUCCUCAUUUGAAAUAUGACUAUUUGGGUCUAUCUUCGACUUUACUUGUCAUUAUUUCAGUUGAGUUCACCAGAGAUCAAGAAGAAGAGGCACUUAUGAUUUUGGAAAGGCACAAUAAGGGUAUUGGAUGGAUUAUUUCACAUAUUCGAGUCACGGGUUGGAAAAUUUGUAGGAAUUACAGGAAGUUAAACAAGACCACCAGGAAAGAUCAUUACGGGUUUUCUUUUACCUAAUAAGAUGUUGGAUAGAUUUGAUAGGAAAGAAUAUGAUUACUUUCUAGAUGGUUAUGGUUGGUAUGACAAAUGGCCAUUUGACAUCACCAUGGCCAAUGACGAUCCUGAAUAAAAUGGAAGGAGUUCUCUUCACUUUCUCUAUCGUUAUUUUAUAUUUUUAGUUUUUUUUUCUCAUUUGAAUAAAUUGGUAGAGUUAGAUAAAACUUUCUUUAGUUCAUUACAUCAAUUAAAAUUCUGUCUAGGAGAUUGGGACUUAAACGGGAUCAUCUGUGACCCCUCCAGUCUUUCUUGGGAGUUUAAUUUAAUGUAAUUUUUCGAAAAAUAUUCUUCUUAGUAGGCCGAAGGAUUUAAGUAUUUGUUUUGGUAAAUAAAGGGUCAACUUUUAAGCCAAGCACUAAUUUCGUUGAGUUUUUUUUUUUAGUUUACUUUCAGUACAGGAGCUUAGGAUUCAAAAAAGAGCUACCAUUGGGCUAAAGACACUACUAGGAAGGGAAAUAUUCAACCAUUUUCUGCAUAAACCUAUAGCCCUUACCUCACUCCACCUCUACUCCCAAGUAGCCCAAUAGUGCAUCUCACUUAACCCCUUAAUUUUGUAGCCCUUAACUCCCUGAAUCACCACCCCAAACACCUUCAUUCGAAGUCACCAACUACAAUACCUAAACUAUCUUUAAAACUGCCACCCUCUUCAACUCUAAACCUUACCCUCAACUACUCACCCACCUGCCCAAAACUGAAAUCACCCUUAACAGAUUUCCUAAGUUCAACGCUGAGAGUCCCUUUAUCUAGCACCAUUCCACGAAGUGAACAGUUUGGUAUAAUGGCUAUGCUGCGACACAUGUAGUUGCAGCAACAAGAUUACUGGAGAUACUAAAAAAUACGGGAUGACUAAAUUAGAGAUGCAUUUAAAAUAUAUAUUUCAUAACCCGUUUGUUUUUGUACCUGAAUUUCUAGACUUUAUAAUCGAACCAUGGACUCCAAUGUCGAGGAAGGAAAAAGAUGAAUCAGAUUUUGAGGGAUCUACAAAUAAAUACAAAGGGGGAAUCUUGAAUUUAUUCUAUUUCUGUUCUUAGGUUAUUUAAUAUUUUAGGAUUAGGACUUAUUAGGAAUUUUAUUUUCGCAUAAUAAAAUAAGAGGUGGAAAUCGUAAAUAAAAAUGAACAAGUUGUAAAGUACAAAGUGUGGCAAUAGGUAUAUACAUGUCUGGGAUUGGAUCUAGAAAGAGCUUGGUACUUAAGCAGUCAAAUUGACUCACCUCCUCUUUUGUAGAAUCCUACCUAGUGAUAGUAUAUAUUCACUUUUAACAAUGAAGACAUUGUUCAUCUUAAGUAGGGGGACUGAAAAAUUGAAAUUAUUUCUACUCAGAAUAAAUUUUCUUUUAAUUAUGAUUAGGAUAUAUUUUGUUCAAAAAUUUGAAAUUUUGUUAAGUAUGCUAAACUUCAGUAUAAAUAAAGUUCGAUUAUUUCAAUAAUUGUUAUGAUAAAUGAAAUAUGACACAAAUGUAUUUUUAAUAAAGCAUGCAAAUCAUACCAUAAAAUUUUUAGUUCCUUAGGAAAGUUAGGCAUGCAUGAAAGUUUAAGUCUCUAGAAUUUACUUACUAGUUUCUUGAGGCGAAAUCCUAGGAAGCAUGGAAUGUUGAAAAUGAUUUAGGCAACUUUUGUUUGGACCGUUUGAGCCUUUCAAGCCAACCAUGAUAAAUUUUUACCCCUUGAAACCCAACUUUGAGACUAUAUGGCCUAAUUUUAUUUGACCCCUUGCAAUAUUUAGCCAUCACUUUUCUCUUAAUUAUCUUUAUAUUGUCCCAAACACUAGACUCAGUACUAUUCAGAAUGUUCUUUGAAAAUAAGUUUGAGGGAGUUGAAAAGAAGUAUCAAAUGCUCAAAAAAGUUGUAGUACAUACAUUAAAAUGCUCGUAAAAAGAGAAAGAGAGAGCAUAUGUACUUGAAAGGAAAUAGAUGUACAAAAGAGCAUGUGAAAGCAAAGUAAGUUGGUGUAUUGAAGGUAAUUAUUUCGAAGGUCCAAUUGAAGCUGAGUCUAGGGUUUUUAGCCUAAAUUUAUCUAUCUUUUACCUACCCCUAGCCUAGCCACGUUACAACCUUAUUAAAGACCUAUUGAUUCAAGUUUUUAUGCUACCUACAUUAGUUGAGAGAAAUUGCUAUGUUCAACAUAUGAAGGCAUAAGUUACACUUAAUGAUUGCAGCUUAAUCUUGAAUAAGGGAAUAAAAUCAAAUUGGUAGGGAUUUAACAUGUCUUUAUUAGAAAGCAUUUAGUCUAUUUUUGCUAUCAUAAGAAUGAUUGAGAUUAAUUUGAAUGAUAUGUAUACAUAAGUAGCAUAAAUAUCAAAUUUCUUGUUCUUGAGCAUAAGUAUACCAAAUUCAUACUUUUGGGAAACAUGUUGUUCUAAAGGAAUUGUUCAAAGGUUUUUCUGAGAAAUUCUUUUCAAUUUGUGCAUUAUUCGGGACGAGCAAUGAAUUAAGUUUGGGGGAGUGGAAACACGAAAAUAUACACACUUUUUCAUGUCCCUUUUAACUCAAAUUCAUGUAGUUUCGGUAAAAUUCUUGUCGAAAAAUAUAUAAUUGUUAUAAAAUAAUUAUUUUGUACUUAAAUUACUAACAUGUUGAAUUUUAAUUAAUUUUAUAAUUAAUUUUUAUUAUUUUUGAUAGAUUUGCAUAAAGGGAAAAAACGGCACGGCAGACACUGCUAGAAGCACAAAAUCGAGUAGUAAUUUUGAAGCAUCAAGGUAAAAUAAUUUUUCUACAUAAAACUAUCCAAAUUAUGUGUAUUAAUUCAUAAUAUAAUUAAUUUUAAUUUUAAUCCAAUUUAAUUUGGGUUAAAUAAAUUAUUAUUAAUCAAUUAUGAAAAAUGGUCUAGUUGAGUUGAACCGAGAAAACCGAACCAACCGAGCACUGGGCAGCCCAAUACUGUCCCACAUGCUGACCCAAUCAGCUUGCUUGGCUGAUUAUUUGGCUUGUAAAAUGGCCCUUGAAGACUUCUUCAAAUUACAUUCAAACCCCUCCACUAUUUGUGCCUUGCUAGAUUUGCCCCUACCUUAAUAUAGUAAGUUUGAAAACUUCAAACUUGCCACAUGUGUGGUCGGCCAUAGGGGGACUCUAUGGCUGCUGAUUUUUCCUAAUUUUGGAAGCCAUCUCAGAAUAUAAAUACCCCCCUUGGCUGCUCACUUGAAAAGCAUUUCAACUCUUCUCUUCUCAUCUCUUCACUUCUCUCUCAUUUUUCUCUCUUCAUUUCCCUUCCAUUAUUCUUCAUUCCCUUGCCGAUUUCACCUCUUGAACAAAAGUCAUUCAUCAACCAUUUGGAGCAGCAUUCAAGUGUUCGUAGAAGCUUCGGUUUGACAAGAACAAGUGGAGAAGGAGUGGACCAAACUAGUCAAGCCACGGAGAGAACACUGGAUUUGAUUCUUAUUCCCUAUCUUUUUAAUUUUGUUGUUAUGAUGAACAUGUCUAUGAAUAUUUAUGAUGUCUAAAUUUUUAAUUUAAUUAAUAUGGCUUAAAUUUAAUUCUUGUUAGGUUGAUUGCAUUUCAUUUACUUGAGUUAUUAAAAUUGUGUUUGUAUUAUUAUAGGCCUCAGUAAGAUGUUUGAUUAAGAAAAAUCAUGACUAAGUUAUUCUUGCAUUACAAUUGUAAGGUAACCAAUGAAUUAAUUAUUUAAUUGGAUUGAAAUUGUAAUUAUUUGACACGAUACUUAAUCAGUGAAUGUUUAAUCAUCUAAGGUAGCUGAGGGUUAAAUUAGCAACGGUAUCUAACGAUACAUUAACCUUGCAUAACUUGUAAGAUUAUUGUGAUUAAACUUUUUCAAGGUAGAAAUACAUUAUUAACCCAUGUAAUCUUUUAUCUGCUUAUGAGAUUGAAUUAAUUGUUUGAAUUGGCUUAGAGAUAUGUACAAGAGAUUAUUUUAAUUUCAUAAGUAUGUAGGUGCAUUAACACAUUUGCUUAUUAAAAUUUGUUUAAUCGGUUGAAUUGACAUAGAGAUAUAGUCAAGAGAUAAAUAGAUUUUGGUAGGUAAGUAUGUUCAUAAGUUAGAAAAUUACCGAGUUGCCGUGAAUUUAUCCGUAACAACAUGAACAUGAGUUUAAUAAUUCUAAGCUAAGAAAUGUAAUUAAUCUAACACAAUUAUGUCAUAUUGAUUAAAAUCAUCUUUCGAAAUCGUGCAUUGAAACUUUUAUUUCUUUUUAUUUAUUUUACUUAGUUAAAAUUCUUAGUUUUCAAUCACUUCCUCAAAUCAAAAUAUUUUUCUAGACCAAAGUGUUCUAAAUUGCAUUCAUAAAUAAUUCUUUUCACAGUCCCUGUGGGUACGAUAACUCGACAUUUACUUGUCACUUUAUUACUUGUUGCGAUUGUGUACACUUGCACAUUUCCAUCGGUUCACUCCCUAAUAAAGAUAAUGUCGUUACGGAUGCGUUGAGCAGAAAAAUAGUAGUCGAGUUGCAAGUGAUGUUAGCUCAACUGAGUAUUGAUAGUGACGGAAGUUUACCAGCCAAGUUGAGAAUCAAACCAGUAUUAUUUGAUCAGAUUAGAGGUGAUAUUUGGGUGAUAGUCGAUCAUUUUUUAAAGUCGGCUCAUCACUACAAAAGCUAGCUAAAGUCUAUAUUUGAGAAAUCAUCAGAUUACACGGUGUACCUAUGUUAAUUAUCUCUGAUCGGGAUCCUUGAUUCACUUCGAGGUUUUGAAAACAAUUUUAUGAGUUACUCGGUACAAGGCUAAAUUUUAGCACGGCUUUUCACCCUCAAACAGAUGAAUAAAUCUGAACGUGUUAUUCAGAUUUUGGAAGAUAUGCUUCGAGCAUGUGUGAUUGAUUUUGAAUUGGGUUGGGAACGUUAUUUCCCUUUGGCCGAGUUCGUGUACAAUAAUAGUUUUCAAUUGAGCAUUCAAAUGGUUCCUUAUGAAGCUUUAUACGGUCGAAAAUGUAGAACACCUGUAUGCUGGUCUGAAUUGAGAAGAAGGAAGUGGUUGGGGUAGAAUUGAUUCAAGAAAUGAAAAAUAUGGUUAAAGUGAUUUGAGACAGAUUGAAAGCAACUUUUGAUAAACAGAAAUCUUAUGCAAAUUUGAAACGUUGGGACAUUGAGUUUGAAAUAGAUGAUAAAGUAUUUUUAAAGGUUUCACCAUGGAAGAAAAUUCUUCGAUUCGGUCAAAAAGGCAAGUUGAGUCAUCAUUUUAUUGGACCGUAUAAGGUUAUCGAAAGAGUAAGACUGGUUGCUUAUCGGUUCGCAUUACCUACAGAGUUACAGAAAAUGCAUGACAUAUUUCACGUGUCAAUGCUCAGAAAAUAUAGAUUGGAUCCAUCUCAUAUCAUUUCUACAGAAGAAAUUUUAAUUAAGUCUAAUCUAUCAUACCAGCAAGAACCGGUUAAAAUUUUAGCUCGUGGGGUGAAAGAGUUGCGUAACAAGCGAGUUCCGCUAGUGAAAGUUCUUUAGUGUAGCCAUAAUGUCGAGGAAGCGACGUGGGAGUCGGAGGAAAUGAUGAUGUCUCAAUAUCCCCACCUCUUUUCAGGUAAAUUUUGGGAACAAAAUUUCUUAAGGGGGAGAUUUGUAAUGACCUGAAAGUCAGCGGUGUCGGAAAAUAUGGUUUCGGGACCCUAUUUUCAUUAACCAAAUUCAUAAAUAUUUUUAAUAAAAUAUUUAUGGAAUUAUGUUAGAAGUAAAUUAAAUAUCGGUUAGGUGAUUUCAUUGAAUUAGAACUUAAAUUAAGGUACAGGGACUUAAUUGCUUAAGUGAAAAAAGUAUAAUGGUUAUUAAGCUAUAAACUAAUUUAUAAUUAAAGGACUUGAAAAAACAAUUAUACCCUUUUUAUUUAAUUAAGUGGACGGUCAUAUCAUAUUUAUAUGUAUGUAAUAUAUAUUAUGUUAACUAUAAUAUAUUUAUGUUAUAUUAAACUACUAUAAAUAAAAUAAAAUAAAAUAAAGAUGAAUAAUAGAUAGUGGAUAGGAAGAGAAGCAUAAAAAUUUCUUUUCAAUUUGUUUCAAUUUUGAAACAAGAAAAGCUUGGGAGGAGAAGAGAAACACACGGCCUAGGGCUGAAAGUUUCAAGUUAAUUUGGUUAGUAUAUUUUGAUCCUUUUUACUUAAAUUUUAUAUUUUUGGAACCUUAAGAUCAUGAACUAGCUUACCCAUUGUAACGCUCGGGUUUGUGCAAGUGUACACAGUCGUUAUCAAGUAAUAAGUAAGUAUCGAGUUAUCGUCUCCACAGGGUUUGUGCUUGUGCUAAGUCACUUAACUUGUAAAAUUAUAUUAACAAUUUGAAAAAAAUAAAAACACAAUAUAGUUGAGAAGUGGUGUCUAAAUUAAAUUAAAUGCAAUGAUCCCUAAUGCAAGUUUUCCUAAGUAUGCAGAUUAUAUGAAUGAAGUAGAUUUUAGCAAAAUUAAACACAAUUUGCAACAAUUAUAACAUAAAUAAACUAGGACAAUUACUUUAAUUAAACUUAAUUUAUUACCAUCAUACUUAAUAAUAUUCGGAAAAACAUUCCAUGGCAACUUGAUCUUUCAUGAGUUUGGAAACCAAAUUAGGUCCUUUCGGAAUCCUGUACUUAGUAAAUACGCAUUUUACUGAUCCUUAUUUACUAAGGGUUUCUUUGCAUUUGUUUGAGGUAACAGGGAAGUGUUAGGUUUGAAACAAUUUAAUCACACAAAUCUAAAAACUAUGCAGAUAACAGAGCCUUGUUAGGGUUGUUAUGCAACCUACAAUUUAAUCAGGUUAGAAUCUAAAUUGAGCAUGCACAUUUCAAUUAUCCGCCCAUUAGCCAUCGUCUGGUUAGGAUCGCUCAGCUAAUUCAGGUGCAUUUCAAUCACGUAUGAACGAAAUACAAACUUGAUUUUAAUUGAAAACAUGAUAAAUUGAGGACAAACAUUAUAAGCAUGAAUUAAAUAAAUAUUAUUUAAUUAAAAUAAUCAACCUAGCUUAAAUAAAAUUAAGCUAUCAUUGUUGUAAACAAGAACAAAGAAGUCAUAGCAAAAUUAAACCUAAUUCAGAGUGGCUGUCACCCAAGACUCUGACUGACGAGGCUCAUUCGCUCCUUUGCUUUGCUCCUUUGCUGAUGGCUCUCCAAGGUGGCCGGCCAAGGGCUCUUUAAUAGGCUAAUUUGCUGAAAUCCUUUAUGCAAAGUUGGUGAUAAGCGUGAUAGCUAAGAUAGUUGAGAGAAUUGAGAGAGGAGAGAAUGAUGAGAAGUGAGGGAUGAUGGAUGAAUGAAUGAGAGGGUCUUAUUUAUAGGUGAGGAAAGGGGGAUAGUUUACUAAAAAUAGGGGUAUUCAUCCUUUGAAAAAUCUCCCAUGGUUGGUUGGCCAUAAAUCAAGCAAAUCAAGCUCAUUUUUCCUUGAUUUUUUGUCAGUUUGGAUGCCACAACAAUUCAGGACUGAGACUCAGUCAAGUGCAAAUCUUCAAGUAAAUCUCUAAUUUCUUCAACUCUUCGAGGACCUUGUAUAAUUAAACCAAAAUUUGGUUUAUAAUCAGCCAUGUGCAGUCGAAAAUUGGGUUGACUUGGUCCCCACUUGGAUGGUUUUGCAAAUAGAAGAAAAUCCUUAGACCUGUCAAAGAUAGCAAAUAGUUUAGAGGACCAAUAAAUUAAUUUAACAACUUUAAUUAAUCAAUUUAUUUAAUUAAUUAAACCCAAUUUUUAUUAAUUAAAUAUUUAAAAUGAAUUAUUAAAAUAUAACAUUAUAUUUUAUUAUUUAAUUUAAUCAUGCAUGGCCCACUUCAUAGCUUAAAAAUAUAAUAUGCUUAAAUUAAUAUAAAAUAAGUCAUUUUAUGCAUGAAAACUAUAUAAUAAAACAUAAAAUCACAUUUUAAUAAUUUCUAUGUCCUAAUUUCAUAUUUUCACAUAUUUCAUUCAUUUAUUAAACAAUUACUUAGUUUUAGCAACAAUUUUAAGUAAAAAGGUGAUGAAUUAUAUAGGAAAAAUCCUAUAUAUUUUUCCGUUUACACCCAUGAACUAGCUUACACCAAUUCUAUGUGUCGCGAAAACAACUUCGAAUGCAAGCUAGGAGAGCAAAAUCAAUGUUGUCGUGACAUGAGCUCUUCAACAUUCUGACAUCCAAAUUCAAAGGCGUGUAAGGGAAUAUGGAUGCUUUAAUGUCGCUACACUGGCACUUAGUUUCGUGACAUGCAACUUCGAAACUUCCAACAGAGAUAAUUUGUUUUCAGUGUCGAGACGCUAGUCCUGUGGUGUUGCGACAUCGAUUCGACGAGGGCCAAAUUAUAGGUGAGGGUAUUUUCAUCUCCACAACACAUUUUAGCUCGAGUUAUUCACUUGUAAUGGACUUAAUAUGGUCAUAAAACAACAAAAAUAUAAAUAGAAAUGGGGAAGGUUUCAUUUGGGGAGCUUAUUCCAUUAGUUUAUUUUUAGUUUUCUAGUUUUAGGUUUUGUUGAUUUGGGAAUUUGUUGUUAACUUCAAUUUUGGAUUCAAUUUCAAUUCAAGUUUUAUUUUCUUCAUCUAUUUGUAUUUUUUUUCUUUUGGUUUAACAUUCAAUCGCUAUUUCCUCAACGACUAUUAAUGAGUUUUCAUCUUCCAAGCAUGAUCGACAUACCAACAAAUCAAAAUUCUCUUUUUCCCCCUUUCUAGUUUGCUAUUUGUCUUAAUGUUUGAAUUGAAUUUAGAGAAAAUUGUAUUUAGAUUCAUAAGGAUCUAAACCUAUAGGAAGAUUAACAACCGAAGGUGGAAUUAAUUAACUGAGAGUUAGGGCUUGUCAUUGAAUUAGUUGGAUUAAAUUAUGUGUGCUUAAACCUUAGGAUUGACAACCCUAGGAAGUUAUUUAGGUAAUAAGGUUGAAAGAAUAGUUUAUCGAGCAUAUUUUAAUUUAACCUAGUUUAAAUUACGAGGUCGAAAGAUAACUUGUUUCUGUCAAUUAGUUGAUUUAGUUAGAGGGCAAAAGGUAAUAAAUAGGUUAAUUAUUAGCUAAUUCAUAAAACCCCAAAUUCUGAAGUUAAUUAUGAACACAAUGUAAGUUAACCUUUUGUUUGUUUACUGAGUGAAUUUUGAUCGUUAGUUUAGUUUUCUUUAAUUUAUGAUAGUAUUACUGCUUAGUUUUAUUUCGAUUUGUCAUACUAUAAUUUUAGCCUGUUAGCCUAGAAAUUAGUCUCUUGUUUGAUCCAGCCUCCUUUAGGUAAAAUCUUCGGAAUACUUCUGUAUUCCAUUAAAACUUUUAUAUUACAACUUGACCCGGUGCAAACACCGUUGUUAUUUUAUAUCUUUUAUUUUCAAUAUUUUCAGUCUAGGUGUUUGCACAUUUGGGCAUUGAUCAGUAACCAUUAAAUAGUUAAUUACUAUCAAAUAGUAAUCAAGUCAUUUAUGACAAAGACAAAUAAGCCAUGGCCAUGUUUACUUUUCAUCUAUCAUGAAUGCUAAUGACAGGAUAUCAUUUACCCAUUAGUUGGGCUAUGAAUUCCACUAUUGUAAAUGAUGCUACAUAUUGUAGAAGUUGUAUACACAUUGCACUAACUUUAAGUUCCUUACAUCAAGUUACUAUUUGGCGUAUGUUUUUUUAUGCUAAGAGUAGAAAGCUAGUAAAUUAGUAGAGUAUUUAUUUUUCGCUGUGUUUGGCAUAUUCUGUGGGAUUCGCCAUUUGGAAAAUUUCAGGUUUGGUGGACUCAUCUGUUAAGUAUCCACCAACCCCAGAUGUUUUGGGCGAACUCGCUAAUUCACAGCUCGAUAAGUUUACCUUUGUGGUUAGUAUAUGUUAUGAUGACAUAGUAAGUGAUGUUAGAGUUUAGUUGAGAUCUAGUUAGAACUGAACUAGGAUACUAUAGAUGAUUUCAUACUUAAUUAAUUCUUCUUGAAUUUCUAGAGUGAUCGUGAGAUCCUCUAGCCUUCCACUAAGUUUUGUUCCAGUGUGUCUCUUCUAUAUAAGGACAUCAGACUAGCAUGUUGCACGUUUUGUUUAUGCUUCUUCUUCUUCCUUGUAUUUUCACCAAAGCUUUAGAAAUUCUAAGUUAAAGUCAAUAGUAAAGAGUUCCAGCAUUUAGCUAACACCACUGUUAUCACCAGAUUUUUGGAAAUUUUUGGUAAACCCUUAGGUCAUUAUUGAAGGAAUUUAUGUGCUUAUAGUAAUUCAUGCUUAAGUUUUAGAAUUGUUCUUGAGGAAUAAAACUUCUUGAUUCUAGUUUACAUGCUACUGAUUGGGUUGCAUGUUAUUGAUUCAUGCAUGCAUGUCAAAUUUCUAUAAUUUGAUGGUCUGAUAGAUGUAUUUGUCUCUCUUUUAGCUCAAGAAGCUAACGAAGGUCCAAGCAAUAAGGGAAAAGGACCUACUGAGUAAGUUACUGUAUUAGACUUUCUGGUGAGUUCCUUCUCAGUCCAUGUGUUGUAAAUUAUAUUGUUGCAUGAACUGUGUAAGGUAAAAGUUCCUUCUCAACAACAUAAGUGUGGUGUUUGGUCUUGUGGUGUUCAACCAGUAUAAUCGAUGUGGGUAUGGUAUGUUAUGUUUUGAUGUGUAACACCCUCAUUGUUGCACAAGUCAGUACCACCAAUAUGUAAUAUGUGAUAUGUGAUAAUGAAGAAGGGGAAUAUGUUUGUGAUGUCUCCAAUAGGGUAGUUAUAUUACAAAUAGGAUUGCCAGAUCACGAGAAAACAUACGCGACUAAAUAGAAAUGAUAUGAGUAGUUAAUGGGGUGUGUAUAUAAAUACGACUAAAUAAUAUGAUUCUUACUCUGAAUUUUGGUUACGAGGCUGACAUAAGGAUGGGUUGUGUAUAAGUUCUGUUUAAGUUGGUGGAGUGCCCAUGUGUCGUGUUAAGUUGGCGUAUUGAUUCUGUAUGUAUUCUGUGAGUGUCAACGGGCGUGUUAUGAGUAUUGCAUUUGAACCUCUCUGAAAUGUAGUGUAUCUUUAUGGUAUUAAAGCUUGUUCUUCAGUAGUAUCGUUGUAGAUUAGUUGUGUUUUCAUUAUGGAACUCACUAAGUAUGUUUGAACUUAUUCUGUUAACCUUUCCUUCUCAGGUGUGCUGAUUGAAGGAAGUGAUUCUAUUGAAGGGACUAUGCCAGAGAACUGUUGAUUGUGAACUAUCUAUUAAAUUUUGUAUCAUGCAUGACCUUUUAGGGGUGGCAUGUAGAGCUACUUUGUAACUAACUUGUAUAAUGGUUUACCACUUUUAUCAAGAUACGAUUUUGUGAGAAUAUUUACAAACUUUUUAUGCAUAUGUUUAGUCUACUAUAUUUUGUUUUAUUAUAUGGUCUUAUUGACAUAUAUGCCUAAUAGUUUUUUAUUGUUAUUUUAACCGUCAAUGAUGCACUUGAAACUAUUUUAUAAGAAUAACCCAUCAUACAUUUUAUAUAAACUUGUAAACUUUUGUACGGGUUCCACCAUGUGUUUUGUCAAAAAAUGUUUUACCUGGUGUAUCAUUGAUUUGAUUGUUUUCUUAUUGUUGUUCUGAGGUUCACGUCCAAAUCUCAAACCUUUUAUAAAUUUCAAAUAUUAUUUCUUAAAUUCAUAUGGUUAAGUUGUGGCACUCUCUAUUCAGAUUUAGGGAUUGGGUCGAGUAGCGAGUGUUACAGAGUCACACAUACAUAGUCUAACAUCCACUCUUGAUUAAGGUAUGUCACACUAUGAACAUCGUAAGUGAAUAAAUCUAUAAAUAGAUUUAGGAUAUUCUAAUUGGGUCUAGUCUGAUGUACUGUUAGUUCAAUCAAUCACAUCUAUGCCUCUGUCUUCUGAUAGUCAUCCGCUCCGAUGCUUAAAACAAAGCGUCUCCCUAAUUGGACUUGAUAGCCACAUAUUAGUCUUUCAAUUGGUUUACUCAUUUUCGAUUAGACUAAGGACAUGUUUAGGUUCAUCUACUAAUAUAAGUUGUCUUUUUGUAUUACAAUCAACCAUGUAAUAUUGUUUAUUAUUAGUUAAACAUUCAAUAAUCAAUGGGCCAAUAUUUGUUUUCAUUUUGCUUUGUCUAUAAAAACCAUUGAAGACAAUAUACAAGGGUAUUAAUGUAAUUAAUGGAUAUUAUUAUUAAACCAAUUCAUUUGAAAAAUGCAAGUGUACAUAAACAAAAAUACUACACUUAGGGCACCCGAUCCAACACAAAGGCUUUGGGACUGACUUGUUGAAAAUUGAAUAAUUUUUACUUGGACUAUUGCCAAUUUCGCGACAUUCACUUAGUGAUGUCACAACACCAAAUACAGUAGGGUCGUGAUGGUUUUACAUGAUUAGUGUCACGACAUGGGACACAUAUGUCGCCACAUCUAUGGCAAUUCCAAGUUUGGAGAUUUGAGGUUAAAAACAGGGUCGGUGUAGCGAUUCCGUGCUAGAAAAGUGUGACAGUAUGGAUAGAAUGCUCAGUAUCGUGACAUAAGAAGUUGGGUUCGCAAAAUUACUUUUGGGUACCACGAAAUACCCUUUUAAAUCUCUUAACUCUUAUUUUGCGAACCCAAAAGUAAACCUAAAAUAACCAAUUUAAACCUCUUACUUACCAAAGUGGAAUCAACGCUGGAAGAAAAAGAAGAAAGUACCACAUUACUUACCAAAGUGGAAAUCUAAAGGAAGCAUCUACUAAAAGGUGGAGUUCACAGUGAGACCUUAAGGAUGAUGUUCUCACUCAAUGGGUAGCCACUUUGCAACCAUAUAUUGAUAAGUUUGUGGAUCAGCAAGGAUGGGAUGUCCUACAAUGGUCGUUGAAUCCCUAUGUCACAUUUUAGCACGAUGAGGAAUAAGAAGAAGAGAAUGAUGAAAGAGAAAAUGAGAAAGAUGAUGAUGAAGGGGAUAACAUGGAUGAGAACUCCCCAAUGCCCUAAUUUCAUGAUUUAGAUGAGGCGUUUGUUUUGGAAUGACCUCCAACUAAGGGAUAGUUUUCUGCAGCCCAGAAGAAGACAAGUCGUGUUGUCAUCCCGUCUAGAAUACUUAAAAAAUAGAUCACAAGAAUAAAAUAUAAGGGGAAAAUGGUGGUGGAUUCAAUGUUGGACUUCGACAAAGACAGAAUUUAUAUUCCGUAUAAAUUUUGGAUAAUCUAACUUAAAGAUACUAUGAUUAUUUUGGAUUUGGUUGUUGUUUUCUUUUAUUUUUAUUUACAAUUUGUAUGUGCUUUUAUUUUUGUGUGUGUUUUCUUUUUUAUGUAGGUCACCCACUCGAGGAUUGCACUAAAUUAUAGAGCUUAACAGAGAGGAGGACUACCUCAAUCUACCUCGCGUCGCUUCAUGAAAAACAAAGGAGUCCUAAACUCUUAUCUUUAGAUUGGGAGCACAUUGGGGAAAAUAUGCAAUUUGAGUUUCAGGGUAUACAUAAAAAUUUUAUUAAUUUAUUUGCUUGACGUGCUUUUGUGUUUAUUUAUUUAGUUUAAUAAAAAUGUUCAAAAAUGCCAAAAAAAAAUUAAAGUUUUUUGUUAUUUGUUUGUGUUUGUUGCAUAGUGCUUGAGCAUGUUGACUUUGAUGUGAAUGGUAUAUUGGUAUGAUGAUGUUUUUUGAAUUCUUUCAAGCAUGUAAAUUUUGUAUGAUGCUAGUAGAAUUUUAUUCUUUUAGAGUUAGAUUGGUUAGUUUAAUGGAUUACAAUAUGCAAUAGGGUAGAGGUGAUCAUUCUAUGCUAAAUUUCAUGCCACAUGACAAAUAGCUAUAUUGAUGGAUGUUGAUAUACAUGUUUGGAACUAUAUGUUAUUCAUGGAAUCAUAAGAAGAGCAUUUUUUGAAUUCAUAAAUAUUAAAAUGUUUAGGCAUGACUUAAAACAUUGCUUGCAUAACUAAAGCCAAAUGACCUACCUAAGAAUGUUAUGUUACCUCCAGGACCUCUAUUUGAGCCUUAUUGUACCUUCUUUGAUAAGCCUAUACUUUUGAGACCUUGAACCUUAAAAUAAAGUUGCUAAUCAACCUUUUUCUCUGUCCUAUCUUUUAUAUGCACUUAGAAUUGGACGGCGAACCAUAGAUAUUAUGGUUUAGGUAGAAACAAAAUGGUUGUUUUAAAAGAAUAUGUGCUUGAGUGAACUAGUGGGGAGACGAUUUUAAUGCCAUAAGUAGAGAAUCUUGCUUCUAAAGUGCUUAAUGGAAAAUCUUGAGUGAAAGCAUGGAAAGGGAUAAAAUCAUAGUGAGUUAUGAAAAGUGCAUAGAACGAGUAAAAGCAUUGAGAUUGAAAAAGAGACAUUUAUUGAUAAAAUGUUAAGAUUUUCCUGAGCUUAAAAUAAUCUCGUUUCGCUUCUUAAUACACAAUUUCGCUAAGCUUUUAUACUUUUGGUAAUUGAAUCAUGUCUUGAUAGAUUUGAAAGAAAUAAGGUAGGUGAGAGAAGAGACAUAAGGUAUUGAGAAUAAUGAUUAUAUUUGGGGGAGAUUAGAGAAUAAUGUCAUGUGCUACACCAAUUCUAGUGCUUAAACCAUUUUGAUAUUAUCUUUUCUUGAAAACAAAUUAUCCUUAAGCCUCAGAACAUUACAAACCUAAAAGUCCUAUGUGACCUUAACCUUUCAACUUAUGAAUUCUUGACUAGUAGUUUUUAUGAGAAAUGAAUGACUAAAGUUCUCUCUUGUAUAAGAAUUACAUCUACAUAAAUUGUUUUGAUGGAUUUCAAUGAAUGAUAGUACUUAUAUAUGAUUACGUCUAUGCUUGUUCAUCUUGUAAUUUUGUGAACUAUCUUAAUUUACUUUAAAAGUUGAGAAUUCUCUAGACAUCAUACUUAGGUUGCAUGUUAGAAGAAUCAUCUACAUUGUAUGUACCUCUUAACUAAUCAUGACCAUUAUUCUUGCUCAAGGAUUGUCUUUUGUCAUCCUAUUUUCUAAUUUUGUUACUUUUUAUGUUUUAUAUUUUAUAGAAAGUAUGAGAUUUCACCCCAGAAUCAAUAAAUACAUUGACAAAAAUUAGCUCAAGAACCAUCUAACAACCCAAUCAUAUUAGCCCAAAACAAAAGUUUAGGACAACUGUAGCAUCUAGUUAGCUUCCCUACUUUGAAGCUUAUGCAAAUAAAAGAGAGGGCCCAAUAGGAAUAACAAUUCACAUGUCACAAAGAAAAAUAAUUGAAAACAUUUUAUGGGGAAAUAAUACAGGAGCAUAAGAAUCCAUAGGAGAUUCUUUUUAUUUAAUAAUAAGUAUAAAUACAUUAAUAGACUGUGAUAUUAACAGAAGCUAAUUUUGUUUUUGGAAGAUUAGGUUGCAAAGGAAUUUAUUAUUUCCAUAAAUUCAAUAUAAGUUGGUACAUGGAUUGAAUAAGCAUUAAGCUUCCCACCCACACCAUCAAAGACUUCCAGUCCUUAAGAAUAAACAUACAAAUUUAAAUUAUUUAAAUUAUUUAAAUAAUCUAAAAAAGGAAAAAAUAUAAAACUGUAAGCCAAGUGAAGAAUGAUCAAUUACUUAAAAGCCUUUGUGUUUAACUUUAAGCAGCGACAUUGUGGAGCACAAUGGUCUCAAUAGUGAGGCUAGAUUCGAACCUAAAGAGCACUCCUCACUCCAACCCUUCUCUUGUGGUCUGAAGUCCAUCUUCCCUUGAUUUUUAAAUGAGUUUAUAAUUAAUAGGCGAAAAGCUAAAACUUAAUUAUAAAUCAAUUGAGCUGUAAUCACAUGCGUUCAAUUGAACCCUCUGCUAGCUCGUUGAAACCAAAAAUGAAUUGCAUGUUAAAUCAAAUAAACAAAAAUGGAUAGAAAUGAUAAAGUUAAAGAAAUGGACAACAUUCUGAGAUGAAUGUGGUUUUUUCACUAAGUAUGAAAAUGACCUGAUAAUUAAUUUAUGGUUUUUCAAAUUAUUAUUUAAUUAAUUAAAUUAUUGAAGUCUAAAAAUGGAAUUAAAUUAACUCGUCAUUGUGAAUUCGUUGAAUGUGGAAAAAUUAAAUAUAUGUUCUUAUAGAUUCUUUUACCGUAAUGUUACCAUGAAUUUAACGGAAUCAAAAUCAGGUUGAGAAAAUUAUUUAAUUGAAAAUUUAAUUAAUUUAAAUUAAUUUAUAAUGUUUAUUUUGGGAAAUAGAAAAACACGUAUUGCAUUAGAUUAAAUUAUAAAGUGAUGGGUUAAAAGUCUAAAAAGGACAUAUAAUUGGACCCAAUACAAGAGAAGCAUGAAUCCCCAUAAUAAUACAUAUGAGGGGAGGCACACCCUAUUAGCCCCUUUCUCUCAUAGUUGAUUGUUUUUCUAUUAAAUAGGCAUUAAAUGUUUCUAUUAAUUCAACAAUUCUUUCACUUCUUCUCCCUAUAAAUAGAUGGCAUCAGUAGGGCUAAAAAAAAGUUACACAAAACUUUGAGAUAUUGCUAUUCUGCCCAAAAAUAAUGAGAAUUUAUUUCUAAGUAUAAAUUCUACUUUUCGAGAAUAACAGUUCUAUUGAUUUCUAUUAGAGAGACAAUUUUACUUUUCCAUUAAAGGUAAAGUGAAUAAUUUUUGGUUCUAUGUUUGAUUUGAAUUUGUUCAAGUCCACACUCAAGACAGUUUGUGAUAUGAUAAUAGCGUAGAACGCCGUUAGGUUAAAAUUCUGGAACGAGAAGGAUUCGUCUAGCCAAAAACACAAGUCCAAUUUCGGGAAGUUUAUUAUUAUAAAUAUCACAAACCACCUCAGUUUUCACAAUUUUAUUUUUCCGCUAUGUAAGAAAAUAUUUUCGAACCGGAUUUUUUCCAACACAUAAUUCGCAUAAUAUUUGUAUCACAUAUCAUAUAUCAAUAAUAUCACACUCUUUUAUACUAUAUUCAAUUCAGUCCAAGUUCCCAAUAUUCAAUAUCAUCAACCCAAAUCACUUUAUGAAAUAAUUCGUAAUCUUACCUUAAUAUUUAAUUUUCAACAAACAUGUAUAUAUAUAUGUAUAUAAAUGGAAUGAUCUCGAAUCAUAAAAUUACAAAUCGAAUUUAUCUCGUCACUCGUCAACAACUCUAACCUUUCCCUUCUCUCGUGAUAGCCCGACAUUGUCUUUAGCUAUGUUCUAUAAUUCAAUAACAAACAAUAUUAGUUUACACUCAAAUAACACUCAAAUACAAACCUAGACAUAUUUUUCAUUUUAUUCAAUUUAGUUCAUGUACUCGGGAUAUGUAUAUUUCUCGAUAUCUAACAUCGGAUCAAAAUCUGACUUCACAUUAUUUCAUUAUGGAUCUUAUACAUUCUAUUCACAUCCUAAUUUCAAGAUAGGUUUUUCAUUUAUUCAAUUUAGUCCCUAAUGUUAGAAAGUUAUCUAACAAGCUCAAUUGGCUUUACAAUUUAGUCCGUAUCAUGAUCCAAGCUUAUUAACUAUCAAUUUCUAGCCUAAUUCAUCAAUUUCUCCACAAUAGUAAUUUGCUAAAAACUUAAUAAUUUAACAAAUUGAUACAUGGGCUAACUAAAUCAAGCUGCCAUGAUCAUAAAUCUAUAAAAAAAAUUACAUGAAAAUGACAUGAUUACCUUAGAUAAUAGCUUGGUCGAAUGCUAACCUUAAAAAAUGAAGCCUUUCUUUUUCUUUUUUUCUAUUUUGUAUCUAAAGAAUGGUGAAGAAGCUGAUAGCUUAUCAUCUUUCUUUCCACUACCUAUUAUAUAUCUACUUUAAUUAACUUAAAUUAAUCUUACUUAUUUAAUAUAAUUGUAAUUAUAACCUCCCAAACCCGGCCUAAACGUUAUGGCUAAAUUGAGAAGGCUAAUUUAGCCACCGAAAUGGCUAAGCUAACUUACGUUACUUUUGAAGACCUUAAAUAAACUCAUUUUAGAGAAAAUUGUAUUUGUACUUUGAGUUAGCUUAAAAGCAUUCAUUCCUUAGGUCGUGUAUACUUAAGAUUCAUUUUAUUGUCGAUUGUGUUGUUUUAGAAAAACCGUUUGCUUGUCGCUUGUAACACCCCAAACCCAGCCUAGACGUUAAGGCUGUAUUUGGCAAUGUCACACGAUAGUGUUUUUGAAACCUCAUUGUUACGUUGAAAACAUUCCAUGUUAUUAUCUUUAGUAAACCUUUGUUGGAACUUAGGAAGUCCUCUUUAUUCAUUUAAAACAUUUGUUUUGAAAAAUCCCUCAUUGCGAAAGCUUUAAUAAAAUAGUCUAAGUGAUCAUAUGUUUAGAAACUACUUUAACUUUUUGAAAAUCGAAUUUCCUACGACCAGCAGGUAUAAAUCCAUAAAAUAAAAUAAAUAAAUAAAUACCCAAAACUUAAAACCAAAGUCCCAAAGGGUCCUUAAUAAUGAAUAAUAAUUAAAUCAUAAAACGUAAAUUGAAAACCAUGAAGUCCAAAAAUUUCUGUGGUCAGCGCUGAAUCCUCCCUCGCACCCAUCCAUCUAAGUCUGGAGAUUACCUAUGCACAUUAAAAAAAAGGUGAGUUUACGUAAACUCAGUGUGUAAUCCUGCAGAAACAAAAAAACAAUUAGUAUUCACAGUGCACAGUUUGGGCCUAAGCCUUUUUCAGUAUUAGUGACAGUUUGGGCCUUAACCCAUCUCAGUACAGUAUCAAAAAUGCAGUAGGGCCUUAGCCCAUCACAGUAUCAGUAGCAGUAACAGUUAUGCAGUAGCAAAAUCCUACCCAUCCAGCCUCUACACACCAUCUCCGUCCAACCCUACACUCCAUGUGGGGAUAUAAUCAACCCACCCAUCCCUACACUCCAAGUAAUACCGAAUGCGGCACAAAAUAGUAGUUUGCAGCUGAGCUACCAGUAAAUUAGGCUUAAAGCCUUUCAGUACACAUCCUCCGAAUAAUAACCCCAACCCAAAGCAAUGCAAUAUACAAUGGAUGAUAUGCUAUUAUACAAUUUCAAUACAUAUAUUCGGUUCAGAUAUUAACAUGCUCAGUACAGAUAUCAUUCGGUCAAUUUCACAUGUUUAGAGGUUUAAAUAGCGCUUACCGACCUUACAGUAGGUUCACAGUCGACUUAAGCGACCCGUGCAACCUUAGAAACAUUCCGGUAAAAAUGGGCCCACAUGCUCGUGUGUGCCCGUGUGGCCCACUCGACCCAAAUUGGCAUUGGUCGUGUGAUCUAUUUUUAAUGUAACCCAUGCUAGCUAAAUAUUCAUAUAUUUUUUCACUAUUUACUCAUACGUUCAUUCAAAGUUGUCUACCUGAGUCAUUGUCCCCAAAUUAUUUAUAUCUUGAGCUACAAAAUUUCAAAUUAAGAUCUGUUUGUUGUUUUCGAAACUAGACUCAAAUACCUUUCUACCAUAAAAUUUUCAGAUUUUAUAGUUUAUCAAAUAAGUACAGUAAAAUCUUCAAAUCUAUCCCAAUUCUGCUGUUUGACAGCUUCAACCUUUCUUUACUAAAAAUUAUACAUCUCUUAGUACGGAAUUCAGAUGAUAUUUCUGUUUGUUUCUUUUGAAAAUAAAUUUGUUAAGUAUUUAAACAUAUAAAUUUAAUCCCCUAAUUAUUUUUUUACAAUUUUCGAUGAUUUUUCCAAAGUCAGAACAGGGGAACCCGAACCCAUUCUGACCUUGUCUCUCAAAAUUCAUUAUAUCUCAUAACUUACAAUUUCAUUGCUUACACUAUUUCUUCCAUGAAAAACUAGACUUAAUAAAAUUUAAUUUCGUAUUUUAUUCAACCUCUAAAUCAAUUUCCACUAUUUUUGAUGAUUUUUCAAAGUUAGACUACUGCUGCUGCCCAAAACUAUUUUAGUGCAGAAUGUUGAUUUCCAAUUUUAUAACACCCUUAUUUCCUUUCUCUACAAUGUUUCGCAUCAUUUUAUCUUAUUUCUCUUAUUUAUCGAUAGCAAGCAAUUUUGACUUUUUGCUAAAUCUCAUUUUCUGCGUUUUGGGUACACACCUGGUAUCGUUUCUGAUGCAUAAGCAUUCCUAAGCCUCCAGAACUUAAAAAUCGACCAACAAACCUCCAGAUUAAUCACUUAAUUCGUUUUUAAUCAACCUCCAGACUAAAAAACUAACAAAACCCUUACCUCACUUGAGUAACCAUGAUUUCGUCCAAUCACAGUGUCAAUUCAAAACCACCAGCCCCUUGAUUAACUCCUAAACACCAAAAAGGAAUCCCCCUUUCAGAGAUUAACCACGAACGAUUAACAAUAGACAAAAUUGUUACUUACCAAACACACGCAACCAACGAUGAACAACCAAAUCAAUUGGUAAAUAAAGAAAGAAACCGAAGGGAAAAAAAUAAUGGAAAUUUCGGCAGUAACUAGGGAAAAGAAUCGGCAGAGGAGGGAAAAAAAGGAAGAAAACGUCAGAAAAAGUUUGGGUAAUUGGAGAGAAAAUCGAAACUUUACUCUCUUUUUUCUACAACAAAAAGAUAAUCAGAUUAUUUUCUGAUAACCUCUCCCCUAUUAUCUCCUAAAAUCACUCCCUAUUAACCCACUAAAACGCAACUACUCAGAAUUUUGCUCCAACACAACUCUUAGCCGAAAUUGGUGCAAAAAUACUGUCUCCACGCCAUCAUAGAGAAUUGAACUCAAUACCUCCUUCACACCAACACUCCACUUAUCCACCAAACCAGCAGGCCCAUUCUGCUUGAACUUGGGACCUCUCACACACCCAGAAGACUUAACCACUGAAGCAGAUAUACAGUUGUGUCACACCUUCGCAAGAACAAACAUAAAAAUUUUGGGGCAUUACAACUCUACCCCCUAAAAGAAAUUAUUGGCCUCAAAAUUAACAUAAUCAAAACAAAUAAGGAUACUGCUGACGCAUCGCAUCCUCAGGUUCAUACGUGACCUCCCUAGUGCUAUGAUUACGCCAUAGAACCUUCACCAAAAGAAUAGACUUCCUUCUUAGAACCUUGUCGUCACGAUCUAGAAUCUAGAUAGGCUCCUCUUCAAAGGUCAAGUUUGGCCUAACCUCAACCUCCUCAUCAGGGACAAUAUGAGUAGGGUCAGAGCGGUAACACCUUAAUAUAGAGACAUGAAGCACAUCAUGGAUACGAUACAACGUCGGAGGUAGCUCCAACUGAUAAGCAACUGGUCUCACUCGCUUCAGAAUACGGUAAGGUCCAAUAAACCUAGGGCUCAACUUACCCUUGCAACCAAACUUCAGUACCUUCUUCCAUCGUGAGACCCUAAGAAAAAUGAAAUUCCUAACAAAAUACUCGAUCUCACGCCUCUUCAAAUUCACAUAAGAUUUUUGCCUGUCAGAAGCCGCUUUCAAAUGAUCCCGAAUCAAUCUAACCUUAUCCUCUGUCUUAGAGACCAAUUCAGGACCAAAAACACGUCGCUCGCCUAACUCAGUCUAACAUAAAGGAGUGCAACACUUACGACCGUACAGUGUCUCGUUAGGUGCCAUUUGGAUGCUAGACUAGAAGCUAUUAUUAUAGGCAAACUACGCUAACAGCAGAUAAUCCUCCCAACUGCCUCAAAAAUCAAUAACACAACUCCUCAACAUAUCCUCUAAUACCUGAAUCACCCUCUCUGACUGACGAUCGGUCUGAGGAUGGAACGUAGUACUGAAGUCCAAACUUGAACCCAGAGUCUCAUGCACCUUUUUUCUAAAACCGAGAUGUGAAAUGAGGAUAUCCCUAUCAGAGAUGAUCGAAACUGAUACCCCAUGCAGUCUCACUAUCUCAGAAAUAUAGAGCUUCGCCAGCUUCAGUAAAAAAUAAUUCGUCCUAACUGAGAUGAAGUGUGCAGACUUAGUCAAUCGAUCCACGAUGACCCACACUGAAUCUUUAUUAGUGGAUGUUAAAGGCAACCCACUAACGAAAUCCAUCGUUACUCACUCCCACUUUCAUAGCGGAAUCUUAAUCGGCUGCAGCAAUCCCGAAGGCAACUAAUGCUCAGCCUUAACCUGCUGGCAAGUCAGGCAUCUAGCCACAAAUCCGUAACUGCUCGCUUCAACCCUGGCCACCAAUACAACUCUCGGAGAUCUUGAUACAUCUUAUUUUUGCUAGGGUGCAUAGCAUAAGGGCUGUUAUGCACCUUUCUCAAAAUAGACUGCCUCAAGUCCGAGUCAUUCGACACACAUAACCGGCCUCAGAAACACAACACACCCUCAAAGUUCAACCUAAAGUCCGUAGUGCUACCACUCUUAAUCUGUCAGAAUCGAAAACCCAAAGACUCAUCCUCCAGCUGUCUACCUUUAAUCUACUCGAUCCAAGUUGGCUUAACUUGAAGCUCAGCCAACAAACUCCCAUCGUCGAACAAGCUAAGUCGAGCGAACAUCGCUCUCAGAUCAGUCAUAGCCCUACGGCUCAAUGCAUCAGCCACCACAUUGGCCUUGUCAGGAUGGUACUCAAUGGUACAGUCGUAAUCCUUAAGUAGCUAAACCCAUCUUCGGUGCCUUAGAUUCAGCUCCUUCUGAGUAAGGAGACACUUGAGGCUUUUGUGAUCAAUGUAGACGAUACACUUCUCACCAUACAGAUAAUGCCUCCAGAUUUUUAAUGCAAAGACUACGACGGCCAACUCCAAAUCGUGCGUCGGAUAGUUCACCUCGUGUGCCUUAAGAUGACGAGAUGCAUAUGCAACAACCUUACCAUCCUGCAUAAACACACAUCCCAAAUCGACAUGUGAUGCAUCACUACAAACUGUGAACUCCUUUCUAGGUUCAGGUUGUACCAAAACAGGAGCCCCAGUCAGUACAGUCUUAAGCUUCUCAAAGCUCUAUUAAUGCGUAUUAGUCCAGUCAAAUGGUACACCUUUAUGUAGCAGCUUAGUCAAGGGUGCUGCGAUCAUUGACAAUCCUUCCACAAACCGUCGGUAAAAACCUGCCAGCCCCAAAAAGCUGCGGAUCUCAGACACAUUCUUAGGCUGCUUCUAAUCCAAUACAACCUCAAUUUUUUAAGAAUUGACUCAAAUCCCCUCAGCAGACUCCACAUGACCCAGAAAUGUUACUUCACGUAACCAGAACUCGCACUUGUUGAACUUAGCAUAGAGCUUAUUUUUCCUCAAAAACUGAAGAACAAUCCUAAGGUGCUCAUCAUGCUCAUCCUCAGUUCUCGAAUAAACCAAUAUGUCAUCGAUAAAAACCACUACAAACCAAUCCAGGUAGGGCUAAAACACUCAAUUCAUCAGAUCCAUAAAAGCUAUCGGUGCAUUAGACAGUUGAAAUGGCAUCACAAGGAACUCGUAGUGACCAUAACGAGUCCUAAAUGCCGUCUUAUGCACAUCAACCUCCUUAACCCUCAAAUAAUGAUACCCAAAAUGCAAGUUAAUUUUGGAGAACACAGACGUCCCUCGGAACUAGUCAAACAAAUCAUCAAUCCUUAAAAGUGGAUACUUGUUCUUAAUAAUCAACUUAUUUAGUUGUCGGUGUCAAUACACAUCCUCGUGGAUCCAUCAUUUUCUUUAACAAAUAGUACCGGUGCUCCCCACGGGGAUACACUGGGGUGGAUAAACCCACGAUCCAAUAACUCCUAAAUUUGAGCCUUAAGCUCCGUAAGCUCCUUCGGUGCCAUUCGAUAGGGAGCGAUAGACACCGGAGCUGUACCAGGGAAAAGCUCAAUCCCAAACUCCACUUCUUGAUUCAGAGGUAACCCCGAUAACUCCUCAGAAAAGAUGUCCAAAAAAUCCCUCAUAGUUCUGAUGUCCUUUACAAUAGAGUCCUUAGAAGCGAAAACACUUACGUAGGCCAAAUACGCCUCACAUCCCUUGCGAACCAGUUUCUCAGCUACUAGUGGAGAGAUCACGUUAGCCAAGUAAUUUCGGCGUUCCCCAAUCACAACUACUUCAUUACCCUCCUCAGUUCUCAAUACGACCAUCUUAGUCGCACAGUCCAAACUGACACGAUGCUUGACCAACCAGUCCAUCCCUAACAUCAUAUCGAACUCCCCAAAUCAAAGCUCCACCAAAUCAGCCAGAAAUACCGUCCCUUGAACCUCUAAAGGAACAUCCCUAUACAGUUUGCUAACUCUAACAGAUUGCCCCAGCGGGCUUAACAUAGUCACCUCACUAGAAGUACUCUCAACCGAAAUCCCUAGGUUUUUGGAAACAGAACAGGAAACAUAGGAAUGCGUAGAUCCUAUAUCUAUUAAUACAGUGUAAGGCACAUCAUAAAUAAGAAACAUACCCGUGAUGACAUCCGGAGCAUCUCUGUCCUCUCUGCGACAUGCAGCAUAAACUAAAGCAGGCUACCUCGCAUUAGUCUAUCCAACACCUCUGUCCGGUGCUUUCAGUCUAUAACCCAUGCCAUUACCACCCCUGGCCUGACCACAGCCAGUAGGUGGCUACUGUGCUACCCUCUGUGGUUGUGCAGUACUAGUACCCUAAGCUUGCAUCUUAUUGGCCCUCAACGGACACUCUGUAGUGCGAUGGUCCAAUGAUCCACACUUCAGACAUGCCCCUGUCCUUCUCCAACACUCGCCUUGAUGGCGUCUACCACAGUCGACACAUGGCUACAAUCCAGUAGCAGUAACAAGGGGCCUAACUCUUACUGGCCUAUCAGCUCUAGCCUUUUUCUUAGGCCUCUGCAUAGAACUCGAGGGCUCCGAAUCCCUCUUGAUCCUACCUCUCUCUAUUGCGGUUUUGGCGUUCAGCGCGCUUAACCUCUUAGGCAAUCUUUGCCUUCUCAACCAGUGAAGAAAAAUCAUACUCCCUCUGCAGAGUUAUCAGGACUUUCAAAUUAUCUCUGAGGCCAUCCUCAAAGUAGACACAACGCUCAAAUUCAUUUACCACUAUACCUCGCACAUAACGGCUCAGUUGCAGGAAUUUAGCCUCAUACUCGGCCACUGAUCGAUCUCCAUGUGUUAGGUUCAGGAACUCCCUCCUACAGGCGUCCACAUAACUAGCUUCCACAUACUUCCCCUGGAAGGCAGUCUUAAAGAACUCUCAGGUCAGACGUUUGGGCUAAGUGCCCUCCUUCACAGUAAGCCACCACUGAUAAGCCUCAUCACGCAGCAGCAAGACUACACCCUUUAAUUUCUACUCUGAGGUGUAAUCCAGGUAAUCCAUGAUCCUCUCAUUAGCCUCAAUCCAUUACUCGGCCACAUUAGGGGUGACCCCAAUGACACCCCUUAAGAGCUCAGCUCCAUUGAACCUGAUUCAUUCCGUAACUGACCCACAGCCUCCAGAUCCAGUAUUAGGCCCAACGACCCUCUCUAAUAUCCUCAACAUAGCCUGGGACAAUGCGUCGUCCCCAGCCAUGCGAUCAUGAGACCCAGUCUCAGAAGCAGGCGACACUGGCAUCUCACUCGUGUCUAAAUUUGGUAUACUACCCAGGGAAGAGGACUCAGAUCAAACCCCCUACGGCCUCUACCACGGCCUUAAGUACCACUUCCACGAAUACCUCAUGCGCUCAUGUCUAUUCAGAUUUAUCUGUAUUACGAAUUUGUAUGCAUCAGUUUCAGUAUUUACUAGCAGAUGUUUUAUGUUAACAGUUUAAGUAAUUUAGAGUGAUUUUCGUAAAUCACAGUCUCUAUCAGUUUUGCUACAGUCUCAAUAUACACUAUCUAGAGUAUUUUCACAGUAUACUACCUACAGUAAUUUCAGAAUAUCAUAACAUAUAUCAGUUUCAGAAUAUCAUAGCAUGUAUCAGUUUUAAAACACUUACAGGAUCGGUGCCGGAGACUUGGUACACCACAUACCCAGUAGAAAUAUUUCACAUUAUUUAAAAACCAAUUUUUCAAAGACCAAAUUUAAAACCCAUAAUCCACAGUCGAGUUUUGCAACCUGACUCUGAUACCACUAAAUGUAACACUCCAAACCCAGCCUAGACAUUAUGGCAUUAUCUGGCAAUGUCACAUGAUAGUGUUUUUGAAACCUCGUUGUUACGUUGAAAAUAUUCCAUGUUAUUAUCUUUAGUAAACCUUUGUUAGAACUUAAUUAGGAAGUCAUCUUUAUUCAUUUAAAACAUUUGUUUUGAAACAUCCCUUGUUGUGAAAGCUUUAAUAAAAUAGUCUAAGUGAUCAUGCGUUUAGAAACUACUUUAACUUUUUGAAAACUGAAUUUCAUACGACCAGUAGGUAUAAAUCCAUCAAAUAAAAUAAAUAAAUAAAUAAAUACCCAAAAUUUAAAACCAAAGUCCUAGAGGGUCCUUAAUAAUCAAUAAUAAUUAAAUCAUAAAACGUAAAUUGAAAACCAUGAAGUCCAAAAAUUUAUGUGGUCACUACGGAGUCCUCCGUCGCACUGAUCCGUCUAAGUCUGGGGAUUACCUGUGCACAUUAAAAAAAAGGGUGAGUUUACGUAAACUCAACGUGUAACCCCGCAGAAACAAACAAACAAUCAGUAUUCACAGUGCACAGUUGAACAAUCUUGGGCCUAAGCUUUUUUCAGUAUCAGUGACAGUUUGGGCCUUAGCCCAUCUCAGUACAGUGUCAAAAAUGCAAUAGGGCCUUAGCCCAUCACAAUAUUAGUAGCAGUAACAGUUAUGCAGUAGCAAAAUCCUACCCAUCCAGCCUCUACACACCAUCUCCGUCUAAUCCUACACUCCAUGUAGGGAUAUAAUCAACCCACCCAUCCCUACACUCCAAGUAGUACUGAAUGCGGCACAAAAUAGUAGUUUGCAGCUGAGCUGCCAGUAAAUUAGGCUUGAAGUCUUUCAUUACACUUCCUCCGAAUAACAACCCCCAAUCCAAAGCAAUGCAACAUACAAUGGAUGAUAUUCUAUUAUGUAAUUUCAGUACAUAUAUUCGGUUCAGAUAUUAACAUGCUCAGUACAGAUAUCAUUCAGUCAAUUUCACAUAUUUAGAGGUUUAAGUAGCACUUACCGACCUUACAGUAGGUUCACAGUCGACUUAGGCGACCCGUGCAACCUUAGAAACAUUCCGGUAAAAAUGGGCCCACACGCCCGUGUGUGCCCGUGUAGCCCACUCGACCCAAAUUGGCAAUGGUCGUGUGAUCCAUUUUUAAUGUAACCCAUGCUAGCUAAAUAUUCAUAUAUGUUUUCACUAUUUACUUAUAUGUUCAUUCAAAGUUGUCUACUUGAGUCAUUGUCCCCAAAUUAUUUAUAUCUUGAGCUACAGAAUUCCAAAUUAAGAUCUGCUUGUUGUUUUCGAAACUAGACUCAAAUACCUUUCUACCCUAAAAUUUUCAUAUUUUAUAGUUUAUCAAAUAAGUACAAUAAAAUCUUCAACUCUAUCCUGAUUCUGCUAUUUGACAGCUUCAACCUUUCUUUACUAAAAAUUAUUUAUCUCUUAGUACGGAAUUCAGAUGAUGUUUUCGUUUGUUUCUCUUGAAAAUAGACUCGCUAAGUAUUUAAACAUAUGAAUUUAAGCCCUUAAUUAUUGUUUUACAAUUUUCGAUGAUUUUUCCAAAGUCAGAACAGGGGAACCUGAACCCAUUCUGACCUUAUCUCACAAAAUUCAAUAUAUUUCAUAACUUACAAUUUCAUUGCUUACACUGUUUCUUCCAUGAAAAACUAAACUUAAUAAAAUUUAAUUUCGUAUUUUAUUCAACCUCUAACUCAAUUUCCACUAUUUGUUUUUCAAAGUUAGACUACUGCUACUGUCCAAAACUAUUUUAGUGUAGAAUGUUGAUUGCCAAGUUUAUAACACCCUUAUUUCCUUUUCUGUACAAUUUUUCGCAUCAUUUUCUCUUAUUUCUCUUAUUUCUCAACAGCAAGCAAUUUUGGCUGUUCACUAAAUCUCAUUUUCUGUGUUUCGGGUACACACCUGGUAUCAUUUCUGAUGCGUAAGCACUCCUAAGCCUCCAAAACCUAAAAAUUGACCAAAAAAUCUCCAGAUUAAUCACUUAUUUCAUUUUUAAUCAACCAAUUUUGGAAGGAACUCAACUAAAAACCUAACAAAAUCCUUACCUCGCUUGAGUAACCACGACUUCGCACAAUCACAGCGUCGAUUCAAAACCACCAACCCAUUGAUUAACUCCUAAACACCAAAAAGGAAUCCCCUUUUCAGAGAUUAACCAAAAACAAUUAACAAUAGACAAAAUUGUUGCUUACCGAACACAUGUAACCAACGAUGAACAACCAAAUCAAUUGGAAAAUAAAGAAAUAAACGGAAGGGGGAAAAUGGAAAUUUCGACAACAACUAGGAGAAAUAAUUGGUAGAUGGGGGAAAAAAAGAAGAAAACGUCAGAAAAAGUUUAGGUAAUUGGAGAGAAAACUGAAAAAUUACUUUUUUCUGCAACAAAAAGAUAAUUAGAUUAUUUUCUGAUAACCUCUCCCCCAUUAUCUCAUAAAAUCACUCCCUAUUAACCCACUAAAACACAACUACUCAGAAUUUUUCCCCAACACAACUCGUAGCCGAAAUUAGAGCAAAAAUAUUGUCUCCACGCCAUCACAGAGAAUUGAACACAGAACCUCCUUCACACCAACACUCCACUUAUCCACCAAACCAGCAGGUCCAUUCUGUUAAUUAUUUUUCAACCUUUACUUAAAAGCCUACUGACAAAAGAUAGGGCAUAAAAACACCAAAAUUUGCCCAAGUCCUGGCUUGAACUAGGGACCUCUCACACACCCAGAACACUUAACCACUGAAGCAGAUACACAGUUGUGUCACACCUUAGCAAGAACAAACAUAAAAAUUCUGGGGCGUUACGUCGCUCCUCUUUAAAAAAAUGAAAUUAAACUAAUGCAGCGGAAAACCAUUUUUCAAGUCAUUUUGGAAAAUUAGUUGCCUUAUCGAUUUGUUUUUUAAAAAUAGUUCCUUUGCAAUGUAGUGGAAACUAGGGAACAAUAUCAAAUUUUACUUAAGGCCGAUAUUAUGCAUUAUUCGGUUAUUAUGCUUGAGUAAUUCAUGUAUGCAAAAAUCCCCAAAAGAAAAGUUAUCAAGCCACAGACCAGAAAUAAUUAAAAAUUACAAGCCAAAACCAAUAAAGACUUAAUAAUACUAAAUAAAAUAAUAAUAAUCUGGGGUCCAAGUUGAUUCUCUGAAUGUCGAGCUCGGUCCUAAUUUUGAAGUUUACUUGAAAAGUUAAACACUAUUGGGGGGUGAGCUUAUGAAAAGAUUAGUGUGAGUUGAAUAAAUAUUUAAACGGGCAAAAACAUCAAAUACAGUGAAACAUAUUAGUAUUAAUAGAAGAAAAUAGAACCAUCAUAGGAAUUUCAUGUCAUUACAUAACCAUUAUCAAAUUGAUGUCAAACGGUGUAUGAGCAUAGGUCAUCAUUCAUUCAAGUAACAAUCAUUAAUUUUGAUACCAUUUAAUACAAAAAAAUAUAAUGCGUAGCAUAAAUCAAUAACAUUCGAAUAUGUCGUGAACAUGAUACAAUGCAAAAAGGUUCCUACCCUACCAUCCGCUACACACCACGAGUUGCCCAGAACCCGCAUGCAAAACUCCAAAAAAUUAUGAGCAUAGCUCGAUGUGGUAAAACCACCGAAUAAUCAAUAAUGCAGAAAAUCUGUCGGAUAUCAAAUAGUGCAAUACAAUCGCCAAUAACAUAUAAUAUGCGAUAAAAUCGCCAAUUCCCUCGGUACUCCAGGUGUAGUGCACUGACUACGAAUAAUGUGGACUUAAUAUGCCGCCAGUACUCCACGGAACUCCUCCGUCAACCACAAAAUCCCAACCCAAUGCAUAUGCAAUAUGUCACACAAUCUCAUACAUAAUCAUAUCUCAAUACCUUUCACAUUCAUUUGACUGGCUCAACAUGUCCUCAAUAAUCACGUACUUUCAGUGAAUGGAAAUAGCGUUCCAAUCUUUCAAAUUACCAUUGUGUUGGUAUCAAUCAAUAUCAUUCAAUUUCACAUACUUUACGGAUUUUCAUUGUGCAUAAAUAACACCAUUUUCAGUAGACAAUAUAACAAAUAUCACAUGCGUUUAAAUCAUACAUAAGCUUAAUAUCUCAGCACAUUAUAUCAUUCAGUCAAACAUUCUCAUAUCUCAUCACUCAAAUAUGCAAUUACAAACUCAAUCAAACAUUCAUACUAUCAAACUAGGUUUUUUGCCAACAUGUCAAUCUUUUAAGGCUCGAAACAUACCUGGUUUGGCCACUCACGAAAUCAAUGCUUUAGGACCCACACCUUAUUUUUAAUAAGUCAAUCCAAUCAGAAAACUAAUUUAUCAAAUAUAACAUGAUAUUUAAUAUUUUCAAACAAUUUUAUGAGUUUAGGACCCACACCUUAUUUUUCGCUUUCUCGCAGCACACUAGCGAAUCUUCCAAAUUUCCUUAAUAAUUCCUUAAAUGAACCUAAACCAAAAUUUAGUAUAAAUUCAAUCAAUUUAUUAUUAAACCAGCCCCCAAACACCCACUUAUUAAUUCAAACCAAUCGUUGAAAUUAUAACUAUUUUAUGAAUCAAAACUAGUUAGAUUCCUUACACUAUAUCGAUGCAAAUCGUACGUACAAUCGUUCUUCGCCUUUACAGAUGAUUUGGGGCAUUUGGAUCAGAACCUAAUUCAAUAAUAUACUAGAAAAUCACUAGUUAAUUAAUGAUUAAAUUCCUUCAUUUAAUCAAUUCAUAACAUUUACCCAACAACUAUGUCGAAAUAACAAACUAGUUAUUCUUACUUGCACUUACGUUUCACGAUUUGUAGGAUCCGAUUAGCUAAUUGAUCAAGAACGUCUCUCCCUAAUUAAAAUGGGUUUAAAAGCUAAUUAAUAGGGUUCAAGAACUCAAAUUAAGGCUGGAAUUAAUUGGGCAAGAUUCAAGAAACAAAAUAGCCCCCUUUCUUGCACAUAGGCGCACGCACCACCACCUAUGGUGGCCAAAAUUGGGGCUGGAUUUUAAAACGAUUUGAGAUCUCAUUAAAUUAUGGAAAAAUGCAUUUAAAAUAAAUUAAAAUCCCCCAAAUUCCAUAUCUAGAAAUUUAUAUUUUUAAUGGAUAUUAUUAAUUAAGAAAUUGAAGAGAGAAGAGACCUUACCCAAGCUAGUCGAGAGAAAAGGCAAUGGCACUUUCUUGGCAACGUUCGGGAUCGAUAUUGGAGUUCAAGAUUUCAUAUUUAGGGCUGAUUUUAAUGAGGAAAAAUGGCAGCAAUAUGGUAGAGAAUAUGUUAACAAAUCUUGUGGCAAAUAAAAAAUAAAAAGAAAAGAAAGUGAUGGUAAAACUAGGAGUAAGCGACGACAACAAUGGAGGAAAGGAAAAAAAAUUAAAAUCAAAGAGAAGGAGAGGAGGAGAGGAACGGCUAAGGCAAUGAGGAGGAGGAUUACAGGCUGAUUAUUAGUGGAAAAUUAAUAUUUAUAACUAGGUUAACUAGGCUUGGAUGGCCCACACAUUAAAAUAAGAGGUUUUUGUCAAAAAAUUAAAUUAUUUGCAUGGAAAGGGAGUUAAAGUUAGGACCUCAAGGAUAAAUUCACUAAUUUUUAACCAUCAAACCAAUAACUCAUUCUUGAUAUAAUUUGAAAUAUUUAUUUUUAAAAACAAGACAUAUCACAUACUAAGGUUUAAGGCAAAAUUUGUAAAAUAAUAAAAAUGGUGAGAGCGAAGGGAUUUGAACUUUGGUUUCAAGGAAUAUUUCACUAACACUUAACCAACAAACCAAUACCUCAUUUAUUUCCUAAAAAUACAUAGAUAAAUUUCAAAAAUUAAGGCAUGACCACUCUCUCUUGAUUCACAAACUCGAUUCUACUAACCCCUGAUUUUUGGGAUGUUACAAUCACCAUCCACUAUUCACUAUUUAAAAUUAGUUAAUUAACUAUUUUGGUCCUUUGGAUAAUUGCUAUCUAAGUCCUCAAGCAGUUUCUUAAUUAAAACUCAAUAGCGAUUAGACUUUUACAAUUUACUCUCUGAGCUUUAAUUAACUAAUUUCUCGGUUAAAUUCUUAACUAAACUUUCUUAUAUUUUCAUAUUAAUUACAUAAAUAUUUUUAUUUUAUAUUUAUAGACUUGGUUCACGGCAAUGAGAUUUCAAAACCACAUUGUUCGACACCACCAAAAUUCGAGUUGUUAUAAGAAUUUUAACUAUAAAAUAGAUUUUAGAAUUUCAAAUCAAAUCAGAUUUUGAAUUUAUUUUAGAUUUUAAGUUUAACUAGACUCUAGACUUAAAUUAGUCUAACUAGAUUUGAGAUUUUAAAAAUUUAUCUUAGUCAUUUUUUAGUCAAAUUUUAGGCCUAUACUUUUCAAUUAGGAUUUAGAUUUAAAGUUUAUAUUUAUAGUCCAAUUAGAUUUUAAGUUUAUUCAGUUCAAAUUUGAUUUUUAGUUUAAACUGAAGUUUUAGAAUUAUGUUUUGUACUUUUAGAUUUUAAGUUUUAGAUUUAAAUUUUUUUAGAUCUAGAUUUUAGGUAAAUUGAUUUUGCUAGGUUCUAAAAUUUAAGUUUUAAGUUAAAUUUUAAGUUUUUAUUAGCUUUUUUAAAAAUAUUUUUAGAUGCCUUGGUUCGUUUAGAAUUUAAUUAGAUUUUAAAAUUUUAGUUGGAUUGUUAUAUGUUUAUAGCUUAAUUAAAUUUCAAGUUUAUUUUUAUUAUUAGAUUUUUUUUAGUUCAAUUUAGGCCUUAAAUUAAGAUUUUUAAUUAAAAGGCUAUAUUUAAAUUAGAUUAGAUUCUAAAGUUUGAUAAAUAAGGUGCAAUUAGAUUUAGAUUUUUAUGUUUAAUUAGAUUUAAGUUUUAAACUUAGAUAUUUGAGUUUAACUAGAUUUUAGUAUUGUUUUAGAGUAGAUUGUUUAGAUUGGAGUGAAGGGUAGGAAUUUAUUUUUGGAAACAUUUUCUAUAUGUAACUGUACUUCCAAACUCAGAUUUGGUAACAAUAUCAAAUUGUAGUUUUAAGAUUAAUUCCUUAAAUUUUAUCUUUGGAUUAGUCUUGAGACUUCAGUCGAUAAGUUGUUAAUCGACCUAGCUCACAUGGUUAGUGGCGACUCUACUCCAUUAGUUUUCUAUGUCUAGCGUACUAGAUCCUAAGUCUAGCAUGUCAUGACAAUAUAAAUGCUUAGCAAAUUGUUCAAGUGAUUAUUUGAUAACUAAUAUUCAAGAUUGAAAUAUGUAGAUUUAGAUAAUGUAACACCCCAUACUCGGCCUAAACGUUAAGAUCAAGUCUUGAGGCUACAUUAAAACGUUUAAGGGGAACCAACCUUUAAGUAUUUUAAGAUUAGUCAUAUAGAAAACAUUUAACUAGUUAGACCACAUGAAAAUACGAACUUACAAACCGUAGUCUGAAAUAAAACAUACGUUAGCUCAAAUUUAAAACAAACAAUAAAAUAUCUAGAAAAGAGAGAUGAUCGAGCUCCUAACACGUCAAGCCUCCUAAGUUUGUGGGUUACCUACAAUUCAGUCAACAAAUAGAAUGAGUUUAUAACUCAAUGUGUGUAAUCGAUAUAUAGGCAAGAAUAACUGUCAGAUCAGUAUGCGAUAAAUCGCCAGAAUCAGUACAGAAUUGUGGCUUAGCCACUCAAUUUGGCAGAUCAUUAAACUGCCAGCACUUCCUUCGUUAUACUAUUCUCACCCAAUGCAGAUGCAGAUUACAGAUAUCAGAUAUCAAGAAUGUUCAUACAAUUAUCCAAAUACAAUUCAUAAUCAGAUAAUACAAAUCAUUAUCACUUAACAGUUAUCGCAACAAUUAUACAUACAGAUAAUCGAUUAUUUAAUCUCAAAAAAAUUGGAUAUCAAGCUAUACAAUCUAAUUUAGAUUAUAUGGACCCUAUGGAAGGCCUACGAUCGAUUCGAACGACACUUAAGGCCCUAGGGAAAUUUUAAGUAUUUUGGUCCACAAGCCCGUACGGAUUCACAAUGCUUGAGUAUGUGGCUCGUAUGGUCCACACGGCUGUAUGGCUUAAACUAGUGACUUACAUGGUCUACCACACGACCAAACACACGUUCGUCUGACUCACAACCCUACACAUGGCCUAGACACACACCUGUGCCCCUAGCCCGUGUGACCAAAAAUACAAAUAGUGAGUUCCACGGCCUGAACACACGCCUAUGUCCCUAGCUCGUGUGACCAAAAAUACAAAUAGUAAGUUACACGGCCUGGAGACACAUCUGUUCGCCUAGCCCGUGUACCUCCAAUUCAAAAACAAUGAGUUACAUAGCCGUGUGGCGUCAAGAACCAAUUUUUUGGUGUUCAAAAAUUACAGAAUCUUGGGUUUUCAUUACACACCUGGUAUGAUUUUGACGUAGAAGGAGCAGAGGUGACCUCGAAACCUAAAAGUAGCCAUCAAUUGUCCAAUUACACGGUUUAUUCAAACUACAAGGCUAAUUAAACAAUCAACCGAAACAUGUCGAAAACUUCGACGCAAUCCAACUAAAAAAUAUACACUCACCCUUGUACGAAUAGCAAUAUGCGAAAUUAACUCGAUGGAGAGACGAUGUUGUCACAAUCCUCGCCUAAAAGAAAACAAAUCAAAACUUAAACCAAAUAAUUCAAGCAACCAAGAAACUUACUUCGACAAAAUGGACAAACAAAUACCAACAGACAUUCAUAUCAACUUACACAAUUAUCACGACAAUUGAAUACAACGAAAGAUGAAGUUUCUUCAUAUUAACAACAACAAAAAUAUGGUAACACACAAGGGAAGAAAAGAAAGAAGAAAAAAAUGAGAGAAAAAUAAGAAAAAGAAAAUAGGGGAGGAAGAAGGAGAAAAAAAAACGUCACAGAAUCAAUUAACUUUUAAAAUAAAAACUAACUAUCCUAAUGGUUAAUGACAAAAAUAUUUCCUUAUUGCUUGCACAGGGACUCAAACACAGGACCAAAAAGUAUACAUAAGCUUAAUCAUUGAACCAACAAGCUCAUUCUUGACAUAGAUUAACGUAGAAUUAAAUUGAAGUCGAGAGUUCAAAGGUAAGGGUUAAGUAAAAAUAAAUAGAGAAAUUUCAAAAAACAAUGCUCGAACCCCCGAUCUCAAACACAUAAACAGAGCACUUAACCAAAGAUACAGAAACUUAAUUAUUGACAAAAUUUAUCAAACAAAUGUUCAAAUUUUGGGGCGUUACAAAGAAAUUAUGUGAUGAUGUUAUGAGAGGAAGUAAAUACACAUUGUACCUUUUUUCCCUUAAUUGAUUUUUUGUCCCAUUAGAUUUUUUUCGUAAAAUUUUUAAUGAGGUAGCAUUUAUGUGUAUUAUAGAUAUGUGUACUAGUUUUCCUUCAUUAAGAAAUUUUUCCCACAAAGUUUUUAUCUUAUUAAAUUUUAACAAGGCACAUUAAUAAAGGAAUUAUGUGGAUAAAUGUAGAAGUGGAUCGUAAAGUUUUUCAAAGUCACGGAUUUGACCUAUAGCUUUAGAUGUUCGGAAAGAAACUUAGAUUUUGACACAACCUGAAACGUAAUCAAAAUUCAAGUUAGAUAAAACUAUUAAAAUAAAUAAUUAAGAUAAUUAAAAUAGAAUAAUAAAUCUACGAUUAGAACAAUAACGAAUAAAAUAAAGAAGAUAGAUGGAAAGAUAAAGCGUGGUAAGUAGAAGUCUUAAGAAGCCUUGGAAACACAAAAAAUCCACAACCCCUUUUAAGCGGCUCUAAUUUUCCCUCCAAUAAAAAAACUUGGCAAGAAAAAGUUUGAAGAUGAUUCCCAUAAUCUGAAAAGAUUGUUAAAACUCUUCUAAAAGAAACUCAAGAAAAAUGCUUAAAAAGAAAACUCAAUGAGAAUUUAUUAACUCAAAAGAGAAGUUGGAUAAUAAUGAAUUGUAUAAUUUGUGUACAAUGCAAAGUCAUAUAUAUAGGCUAGCUAUAUAAAUCUAAAUAAAACUCUUAAGUAUACUAAAAUUCUAAUUAAUCUAAACAAGAAGUAGUUUUAAACUAAACUUUCUUGUUAACAUAAAACUCGUAAAUAACUUAAACUACUUAAUAAUUAUUAAAAAUUUAGAAUAAUAAAAUAAUAAAAUAAUAAGAGCUGAUAAAUACAAUAUUGGGCUCAUAUAUAAUAAAAAUUAAGUCCAAAACUCGAACCCAAUAUGAUUUAAACUCGAAUUAAAAGCCUAAAACUCGUAAUUCCUGUCAUAAUCAUGUCUAGAAAUUCUACUCGUGCAUUCUUUAUAAAAACGAUCAUAACUUGAACUCUCGAACUCGAAAAUUGAGUGAUUCAAAGUGCGUUUUGAAGCUAAGAGAUAGAUCCUAUAACACCAUGAAGACAUCUCAACCCAGAAAUGUCUGGAUCCCAUCCAAAAAGUCAUCGGAAGUCUGUUGAAUUCCCAAGCUUGAAAAUUGGCAGCUUUGGUGAAUGGAAUUAAAUAAAUUUCACCUCAUCCGUGCAUGUAUCAUUCCCCCUUUCCUCGAAAUGAUUUGUCCUUGAAUCUUGUCUUUGAUCAAAUCUUGAUUUGAUUUUCUUAGCCUUUGACAUUCUUGUUGGGCCUUGAGGUAGUGUGAGCCCAUUACAUCCAUGGGUCUAAAAUUGAGCAUUGAGACUCGCAUCAUCUACCCUUUUCCUCAAGAAGAUUCGUCCCCGAAUCUUUAGUUGCACAAAAAGAAAAGGGAUUGGAAAAUAUAAUAAUAAAAUGAAAAAAAUACUUACCUAAACUUUCUUGUGUGUCAAAACUAUCUCCAGGAUCAAAAAUAUGACCAAAUUAGCAUGGAUCAAAUAUCUCUCCUUCAAAAACAAACCAUCGACACUAAAUAAAGAAAUAUUAGGCACAUGAGUGUUCAAAUAAAAAAUAACUUGUAACUUUCUUUGAAUAUACAUGGUCAUCCAUAAGAAUUUCCAACGAUGAGUCAAUAAUUUCACAUAAUUAUAAAAAUCAAGAAUGUUAAGAUUGUGUAAAAAUUCAUCGUUAAAGGUCAAGAUAGAAAAUUUUGUUGUAAGAGAAAAUAUAUAAAAUGUUUUAGUAAACCUAUCUAGUGCAACAUAAUUACUAUUUUUAACCUUUUCAAAUCUAGAUAAACCCAUAAGAUUAAUUGAACUUUCAAACCAAGGUUUAAUGAAAUUUGACCAACGAGAAAGCAUGUUUUAAGGAAAAACAAAAUCAAUAGCAUACUUAUCAAAAACAUUUACUGUAUGUCUUCUUAAAUCAAUUUCUAAUGUUUCCUUACCUUUCUUACCUUGUAGCACUUGUGGAGAAUUAUUAAUAUUCAACUUACCUCUCUCCCACAAGUAAAAGUGUCAAUCGAUGUUAGAGUAAUGUAAUUGGAAGUCCGUCAAUGGAUCCUUAAAAUCAUGUAAGAAGGAAAUACCACUAGAUAAAUUUGAGUUAUGGUUAGUUAAAAUAUAAUCAUUCCUCACUUUUGCAUGAAUAUUUUCUUGUUUUUCAUUUUCUUUUCCCACUUGAGAACUCUCCAAUUUUACCUCAUAUGUAUUGUUACUCGCCAAAAGUGGACCAUCAAGUAGACUUUUAUCACUCAAGAUCUCUUUUCUCUCUAUCUUUUUAAUUUUUUCUUCCUUACUUCCCAUAUCCCCCUCACAAGUAUUAUGAAUAUUCAAUUCAAUACAAUACAUCUUAGUAGGAGAACAUGACGUUUCUAUCUCAUCUAACUUAAUAGAUUCAAGGAAAAAAUCAUCACCAUCAUCUUUUUUUCGAUUCACAAAGUUUGCCAUCACAAAUCUAUUUUCCACUAGAGUAUGAGUCAACAAAAGGUAUAAAGUCAUACUUUCAUCUCUAGUUGGAUAUUUAAUUAGACAUUGGAAACCCUUAUGAUCUUUUGAACUACACCAACAACAUUGCACAAAAGGUGAUAUUUCAAUCGUAUUCCUCUAUUUGAAUAUUUAAUUGGACAUUGGAAAGCCUUAUGAUAUUUUGAACUACACCAAUAACAGUGAACAAAAGGUGAUAGCUCAAUUGUCUUCCUCCUUUUGUUUGGCCCUCUCCCCUUGAAUUGACAAACUAAUUUAUGAUCACCUUAUGAUCCCCUUGAGACUCGCAUCACACAUUAUCUAUUAAUAGACACUCUCCCUAAGGGAGAGUGUGAUGAAUAUUUUAUUAUUAUAAAGUGGAUGUCCAUUAGAAUAAAAAGUUUGAUGUACUUUAAGACACUGAUAUCCAUUAAGAAUAAAUUUUAUAUCAUUUAUAUUUCUUAUAUACAUAAAUAUUGACUUUAAAGAAGUAUUAUAAAUAUUUCUAUUAAUGAAUACAUACUUUUCUUUUGUUAUCCUAUUUUUUUAUUAUGUUACUUACUAUGUUUUAUAUUUUAUAGCAAGUUUGAGUUUUUACCCCAAACUCAAUUGGCAAAAGUUAGCUCAAGAAUCAUCUAACAACCCAAUCAUGUUAGCCCAAAACAAUAAAUAUAGCUCACCCAAAAUUUAGGACAACUGUAGCAUCUAGUUGGCUUCCCUACUUUGUAGCUUAUGCAAACAAAGGAGUGGACUCAGUAGGAAUAACAAUUCAUGUGUAAAAAAAAUAAUUAAAAACAUUUUAUGGGAAAAUAAUACAACUGUUAGCAUAAGGAUCCAUAGGAUUUUUUUUAUUUAUUUAAUAGUAAGUAUAGAUAGAUUAAUAGACUGUGAUAUUAACAAAAGCUAAUUUUUAUUUUGGUAGAAUAGUUUGCAAAGGAACUUAUUAUUGCCAUAAAUUUAAUAUAAGUUGAUACAUGAAUUGAAUAGCCGUUAAGCUUCCUGCCCACACCAUCAAAGGCCUCUUGUCUUUAACAAUAAACACACAAAUUCAUAGGAUUUAAAUAAUCUAAAAAGGAAAAAAGAAGAAGAUAAAACUGCAAGCCAAGUGGAGCACGACCAAUUACUUAAAAAGCAUGUUUGUUUAACUUUAAGCAGCAACACUAUGGAGCACAACAGUCUCAACAGUGAGGCCAGGUCCAAACCCAAAGAGCACUCCCCACUCCAACCCUUCUCCUGUGGUCUGAAGCCCAUCUUCCCUUGAUUUCUUCCUCAUCUCAUCCAAAAUAAAUAGAACACAAGCACUUGACAUGUUACCAUACUCUGAAAGAACGUGCCUUGUGGCUCGUAGCUUCUCUGGCUUCAGUGCUAACUUGGCUUCUACCUGAUCUAAUAUUGCUGGACCACCAGGAUGAGCAAUCCAAAAAAGGGAGUUCCAAUCGGAUAUGCCCAAUGGUUGAAAUGCUUCUACCAG